GACUUCCCACUGGGCGAGGGGUGCACCUAACCCACCUACUCACUCAUCAAUUACAGUGUUCAACGGACUUGCACAGAAAGAACCCUAUUGUUUAGUUAUUUGGCGCCCCAUCUUUUGAUUGACUUUUGUCAACUAAUCUUUUCAAUGUUCAAUUGUACUCUAUGUUAGAACAUUUCUAUGAAUGCUAUUUCGAUCUAAGUGGUCCUAUUCUCUGUCCCGUGCUAGGAAGCAUUACUCCUCUUUUCAUUCCAAAUUCUUCAAUAAGACUGAUACGAUUGAUUGGUCUGUGCGUUUCUCUUAUUACUUUUUUGUAUCCCCCUGUUCCUCGGAUACAAUUCGAUCCUUCUACGGCCAAAUCUCAUUGUGGAAAGCCUUCGAUGGCUUCCUUAUGAAAACAUCCAUUUGUAUAUGGGUAUAGAUGGUCUUUCAUUAUUCUUCGUGAUAUUGACCACAUUUCUGAUCCCUAUUUGCAUUUCAGUGGGUUGGUCUGGUAUGAGAAGUUUUGGGAAAGAGUAUAUUACAGCAUUUCUAAUUCGUGAAUUUCUAAUGAUCGCCGUGUCCUGUAUGCUGGAUCCUCUACUAUUCUAUGUUCUUUCCGAAAGCGUGCCAAUCCCUAUGUUGUGCGGAGCUGAGCAUCUUCUAUUCACUGGGAUCAAGCUUUUCCUCUGCAGGGGCCUUGUGCAGUAAACCCCCUACGGGCGGUCCCCCGUCGUCGUAAAGUAGUAAAGGUCCCCGCAAAGCUUUCAAGAAGAGGGCAGUCUUGUGUGUAAGCAUAGCAGUUCUGGUCGAACCACCGAACCACACAUCUUUUUUUGGUGGGAGGGUACUCCGAGUAGUGGAUACCUCGUAGGACCUCGACCCGCCUACUCAGGUCUUGUAUGGAUAUGCAGGAAGGGGUGCUCCUAGGUGUGUGUAGGGGGUGCGUUUGUUCACGAGAAUGAAUUCCUCGUCAAGUCAGGGGGGGGUGUGGACACACUUGCACGAAUUCGGGUAACGGCUACAAGGGAUAAAAAUAAAUGAAACUAUACCCGACCAGGGAUGGACGUAAACUCGUAAGCUACUGAGGGUAGGGAUAAUCGUCCAGGUCUUAUUUUAAAAAAGUCGCCCCGCCACUGCAGGCAGGUUAGUUCCUCUGCCGUUUCCGGAGAGUUCUUGGCGAAGAGACAUUAGGAUAAGUUUCUAAAACAAACAGAGGGGAGGAUCGACCCGUUCAGUAGAAUUCCGAAGAAAGACUGUUGGCAGCAGGUGGAGACAUUUCUUUGGCCCCCUUCCAAAUAAAUGCGGGCAGGGUAGAGCUCGGCAGAGGGUUCGAGAAUAGGGUAGGGUUUUUAUGGUUGGGUCCCCUACCACUAGUCCGGCUAGCCUUCUUUCAGGCAGGAAGCAGGCCUAAACGACGGGCGGGCAUCUCCCGCUACGCAAGCAACAUUGUUCGCCACCACCCGAGAAGCAAAAGAUUCGAGAGUCAAGGCGGAAAAGACAAGCAUAGUGGUCUAAUGACAAGGGCCGACGACGGAAGCUCGGGACGGAGCCGUAUGAUUCGGAAGUCUCACGUACGGUUCCCUGAGAAGGGAGUGGCUACCCACUGGAGCUUUGACCAACUACCACCGGUCAAUUCCGCUUUGGGGCCACCCCUGACUCUACCAUCAUUAUAGGGGUAUGGGGUUCGAGACAAAGAAAGAUCAAGGCAACAUAUCAGUUUUUCCUAUAUACUUUACUUGGAUCCGUUUUUAUGCUAUUAGCUAUUCUGUUGAUUCUUCUCCAAACAGGAACCACCGAUUUACAAAUUUUAUUAACCACUGAAUUUAGUGAGCGGCGCCAAAUCCUUCUAUGGAUUGCUUUUUUCGCCUCUUUUGCCGUCAAAGUGCCUAUGGUACCAGUUCAUAUUUGGUUACCCGAAGCCCAUGUAGAGGCACCUACGGCUGGAUCCAUCAUCUUGGCUGGAAUUCUUUUAAAAUUGGGAACCUACGGGUUUUUAAGAUUUUCCAUACCCAUGUUUCCCGAGGCGACACUUUGUUUCACUCCUUUCAUUUAUACUCUAAGCGCGAUUGCUAUAAUAUAUACUUCCUUGACCACUUUAAGACAGAUCGAUCUUAAGAAGAUCAUUGCCUACUCUUUAGUAGCCCAUAUGAAUUUGGUGACUAUUGGUAUGUUUAGUCGGGCGGCGGCCGUUAGGUCACCUAUUUUGAGUUAUGGACACACAAGCAAGGCCAAAACAUGUGUGACGGGCGUGCGACCCAUCAACCUACCAGCAAUAGGGGAGAAAACUUAGCAUGUCGCAAAAAAAGCGUCGAUUCGAGGCAUCAGCAAAACACCACCGUCUGUUCCUAAAACAAAACCCCUUAGCGCCCCGGGAUGGGAGUGGGGGACGGCCUUACGUAGACAGUAGUAGCACCGGCUCUACGAAGUCCGAAUCGAAUCUUUCGGUUGGCUUUCCCGUGAAUAAGAAUUGUUGGGCGCGGCGAAGCGAGCGCUUCUAGCUGUUUAGCUUACUUCUUUCAUAUUGUGGCGGCUAUUAUGGCGUGGCUAAAAUGAACGAAAAGUGAGAUGAUUCAAAUCGAUUGAUAGAUGGCCUGAUUUGUUCUAAUAGAUCGAAAGGUUUUCUAUCAAUAAUAAGGGUUGACCUCUUUCUAUCUAUUGAUGAUACAAGAUAUCUAUCUAUUCUGGAUCCAUCAGAAAGAAAUUGAUAUGUAUCUUAUUUUUUCUACAUCGUAUGUAGAGCGCCCAAGCGUUUGGCCAGCUCAGUUCUAUUAUCCAUCGGUCCAAUGCACUGGAUCAUCUCAUGGAGGGAAAAAGCAAAUGUAGUUAGUUGUCUUGUUGUUGUUCGCCGCCUCGACACAUUCCCCGGCAUCGUCCCACACAGAAAGAAAGAGCGUGGAGCCCCGGCCCGACCUGUAAGUCCGCUAACGUAAAGCGAGGAGUUGAGCCAGAACUGGCGAACCGAAGUCACUUUCGUAACCAUACUUCCUACAGCUAACAUGUGUCCAGUCCAGCGGGAACGCGAAGCGCAAACGAACGUGAGCUCCUAUACCGAAUCCCCCGCUGGCCAUCGGGGACCUAGUGGUAAGGCCAUGAUCCGCAGGGGAAGGGAUCACUCAUUCUUCUAUUGGGGACAGGUGCAUGAACGACAACUCCAAACGUCAGACAUCCGCCGCCUAUACCUACCGUUUAGGUGGCACCAGCGAGAUCCAGCUAAGGUAAGGAACUUCGUGUUGCGGCUGCUCCACUCCGUUGCGGUCUUUUGAACUGAACUUCGUUGCCUUCCNNNNNNNNNNNNNNNNNNNNNNNNNNNNNNNNNNNNNNNNNNNNNNNNNNNNNNNNNNNNNNNNNNNNNNNNNNNNNNNNNNNNNNNNNNNNNNNNNNNNNNNNNNNNNNNNNNNNNNNNNNNNNNNNNNNNNNNNNNNNNNNNNNNNNNNNNNNNNNNNNNNNNNNNNNNNNNNNNNNNNNNNNCUCUCUAUCCAUAUCUAUUCUAUCUUUAUAUGACGGGCCAUAAAAAAAGAAGUAUUUUUUUAUGGCAUGCGGGAUGAUCGCGCCUAGUAGCCACAUAUCAGCUGCGCUCAAUAUGCGGGAUUUCCAUUGGAUUAGAUCUUUCGCUUUGACGAAUUUGGACCUAGCGAAAAGGACUCGAAGCCUUCGCGCAAACAAGCAAAGUAGAAGCAAGACGAGGAAGCGGAGCUGUCAUAGAAGCAGUAGCUUCACCCGACAAUAUACAAUACAACAGUAGCAACCAUGAAUAAAAAAGCCCCUUGUUUAACGAGUUCGCUGCUUUUCCCAGGCCGGAGGAUGGCAACUACUUAUUGAUUGAUCGCCUUUCUUUGAUAUGUGUUCAAUUUAGUACAAUACAAACUACAACUAGAUCAAAGCAGAAGGGCCACUCACUAUAGAAGCUAUAACUAGAAAAGCCCUAGCCAAUAGUUUAGUAGUCGGCCAAACCCCCAUGCUCACGACAUGUUCUUGAUAUUGAUUGAGUUGGAGGGAGUUAGAGACUACCAUGGAAUCCUUCCAUAGUCACCCCAGUGACCUUCGUCACCAAAGCAUCACGAUAGUUUCCAAGACCCCUCAUAUAAUCUCCAGUGGUGAUCAGUCGGAGCACGUAGGAAUGCCGACCACUACAUAAGCCACGUCUGGCUGAGGCGAGAAGCAAGCGGGGGAGAGUAUUUUGAAGUACAAGAAUGUUGGGGUGGGACGCUAGUACUUAAACUAGGGUUGCUUCUUAGCGCUAAUCUUGCAAUUUUCAGCAGUUAGUUGUAGCGCGCCUUCCCUCCUUCUCUCAUUUCGGAAAGAUUUGGCAGUAUUUUCUUAUGAUGACCUGGUCGAGAGAGUACGAAACAUCGGUGUAAAAGAUUGAGUGGGAUGGUUAUAGUAAGGGGCGAACCAAGUGCUUGCGCGAAGAAGCGAAUCAAUCAGAAUGGAGACAAGGAAAGGAAUCAAGGCCCAGCCCGGUAGCGAUGCCUCUCACGCGGAUGGGAGUUACUUUUCUUUAUCACCGUAAGCGUUACGAAAUGGACCCGCAUUCCCCUUUGCUUUUCUUUUGCAACUAAGCUUAAAAGAAAGAUAGUAGUCUUUCAAGCCAUUAGAAAACUCAUUAAGUGCUCUGUUGAGUGAAUGUCUGUUGAGAAGCUUAGGUCAUACAUUUCUAGCUAAUUAGAAUACAACCAUGAAGGUGGGGUUCGAAUGCCAUACAACUAUUUAUUCUGGUAAGUAGGAUUGGAAUGUAGUCCCUUUUUAUUGGAUCCGCCACUCCGUUAAGUGAAAUUCAAAGUAGGUGUGGGUCUAGCUAGAGGAAGUCAUAAAUCAAGUAUCAAGUAUUGUUAUAAAUAUCGUAUAUAGUAGUUGCCAAACUCACAAGCAUCACACACUUCGAUCUACUUUAUUGAAUAACUUAGCUAGAUAGAACCGACUCAAGCUUUUAAAUGAAAGAAGCAAUAAUGGCAUAAUUUCUGUCUCAAGACCUCUUGCAGUUACAGCCAAUGCAGCACCUCCUUAAUCAACAUACAACACAACCCAUUACGCCUUGCUCCAGUCAUAGUAUAAAGAGAGACUAGAACCUACCGGGGAGCCCUUAGCAGAGUCCCUAUCGUUGUUGCAAAAAUUACACACAGAGUUCUGGAAUUUCACAUUUGUGAGAAGAAAGGGUAUGUGUGUUUGAAAGGAGUGGUGCAAGAACGUAUUCUGAGCCUCAGUCAACACAACUUGUUUCGCCUUUUCCGAACAGCAUUCUUAUCAGGACCCUCCUUUAUAUAAACCACUCGUAGAUAUAUACCUGCCUAUGGCCUAAGAUGAAUACAUCGAUAGAUAAGAAGGGAAAUGCAUCAUCUAGAAAGGCUUACUGAGGUUUAGGGACGUUUGUGUGAUGGAUCGUAUGCUUACUCAUGACGACUUGGCUAUUCAAUAAAGGACGGAGUCAACGUGAGCCUUAGGGUCCAAAAAUAUUCCAUUGGUGUCAGCUAUUAGCGAUUAUUCAAAGUCAUAAUGGUAUAAAUUAUUGGUCAAUUCCACUGAUUCUUCUUUCCUGUUCCUUCACUGGCUAUAGCGCCUUACCUCUUCUGUGACUUGUCCUGAGAUGAGAAGUAUCAAAAGUGCCGGGGUUUGGGUUUAUGUCAUGCUAGACUCAUGUUUCUCGUUCUUACACCGGGUCCGCGACCUUACAAGGAUACACAAGCCGGUGAAGGUUUCGGAGAAGCAGCAAGCUGUUCGGAUUCAAGUUAGCUUUGAGCAGGCCUCGGGCAAGGAAAUGCUUUUGCUGUGCGAGGAGAUAGUCGGCUCAGGGGCUUUUGGGCGGAGCCAAAGUGGUCCACAUAUGUACCAUUUCCAUCAUCACAAGAUCCCCUUUUUCUGUGUGCAUAGAGAUAAAGCGUGCUCUUAUAUUUAGAUAAGAGAGAGAUUUUUCACAGCACUUCCCCUUAUCGGCUUGAUCUUCUUCUGCCCCUCGGUAGAGUGAGUCUACUUAGAGAACUGGCAGGACGCGGAGAUCGAUUGAUCAAUAUGCAUAUCGAGCAUCUAUAGUUAUUCUCUCUUCCCAAAAGAUAUCUCAAGUCGCUUCCAACAUUUUGAUGAGUAAGGGAGGGUAUUUUCAACAAGAUAACUAUGGACGACCAUCUUCCAAUUUCCAAUCUAUAUCUUUCAUUGGGUAAGUAAGGGGAAUAAGCAAGAACGGUGGAAAGCUUAAGAAAGUGCUAGUUCCUUUGCUGCGAAUGGGUGGAAUUGGUAUCCCCAAAAGGUUGUUCUCUUAAAAACUCUGGCAAGGGGUGUGGAAGAGUUCAAGUCUAUCCCUUUGGUUAAGCUACUGUUGUUAUACAUCUCUACUAUUAUGGGCCACCACUUACUUAAAGGAAGUCAAGUACACAUCUCCUUCAACUUGAAGGGCGAGGACCUGCAAUGACGUAACGUUUGAAAGAAAAGUAACCAGCAUAGGAGAGUGAUCAGAAAGCAUAUGACUCGCGGGAGGGUUGGCUAAUCAAAUUAGAAUGAAGAUUCCGCUCUAUAUGAUAAACAUUGUUUGACUUUGAUAUGAAGUGUUGAUUGUGUUUUCUAUUCAUUCAGACCCCGAUAGUGCUUCUCGUUGUGACUGAAGGAAGGUUCAUUCUGUGCAAGAUAGAUGCUAGUUUACAAGCAUGAUACCCUCCUUUCGGGCCGGUAGACAGAGGCCUCAGUUCCAAUGAAAUGGGGAGCAAAAAGAGGUCGUGUCAUACCAUACAGAUGAAAUGAAUGAAAGAUAUUCCUGCUAUUUCUGUGCCUAUUAGUACUUCGCUCUGACCACAUCAAGAGGAGUUGUUUGUUUUUCUUUUGUAAAGCGAUCCCAAGGAAAUAUAUAGGAGAACAUAGCUUGUUUUGUAGUAAGUAAAUUCAAAGGCUCAAAUCGUCUAUAUCAAUGCAAAUAUAGCUGGAUGGAGUGACUCAUGCUUUCGAACCAUAAACUAAUGCCGCCUCACAGGAGCGCGUGUUACUAUUCCAUUCUCUGGAGCACAAUCCAACGGAAAAAUAGUAUGUUUCCAACCUACACCUUUAGUUGUUCCAGCUCAUGAGGAAGGCGACUAUGGAAUUCAGAUUUCCUUUCUCUCGAAGCAAGCCAGUCCUUAAUUAAUGAUAGGGAAGGAAGGAAUUGCUCUUAGGCUUGUGAGUCUUUUUAUCAUAUGGAUGGGUCGUACAACCCUUACAUGGUCUCUUGGCAUGAUAUUGGGUACUUUUCGUCUAUGGCGAGAUGGAAGUUAUCUGCAAAGAAUGCAACUUAGGACCGUCAAAGUGGAAAUCGUAUCAACCCACCGAAGCCGCUCUUUGGAAUGGAAUGCAUAGUAUUGUGCAUUGGAAUGGAAAAGUCGAAUAAUCAAGACAUGGAUCUAGUAUCAACAUGACCCAACUUCCAUUCUCAUGACCCAACUUAUUCAAUCACUUCCAUUAUCUUUCUAUUGCUACAAAUCAACAACAAAAAACAUCCCUCGGAAUUCCUGUUCGAUAGGAAAAAAUAGCUCUUCAACCAGAAAUAGCAAGCAACAUGUUUUUCUUCUCUCUUCCGGGCACACACCCUAUCGGGUGACGCCACUGAUAAACACCCUAAAGGGGAACGCAACACUUCCUAUAACAGAAAAAGCAAUAUCUGAAAUCUUUAAGCAACUAAAAAAGACGUAUACUAAAAGAUAUGUGUUGAAAAGGGAUGGUCAAUAACAAGAUGAACCCAAUGCCCAAUCUUCCCAAUAGUAUUCCUUAACUCUUGAAUUGAUACACUUGUUCAUGGCAUCUAUUCUCUAUCUUCACUUUUCACCUUCUCAUCCUUAACCUCAGUGAUCUGUUCCUCCUAGACAUCCUUCUGCGUACAAAAACAGAAGAAGAAGCACGGGCAUAAAUCAAUAGAGUAGUUUAGUUUCAGAAGUCUUUUUUGAUUGGUAUAUCAAUCAUGGUUUAUAGGGAAAUAGUUAGAAUAGGAAAGCUCUGUUAGUUACUAAUGUUUGGGUUUUUGUUUACGGCAAUAGUAGGUUUCUUUCUUGUCAUAUUUAGAUUAUAAGCAUCAGUUACAUUUGACGUCCAGCCUUUUUAUAGAAGAGAAAGGAAGGUUAAGGGCAAGGGCACAGCAUAAUAUAUAAGAAAAACUUGCUCUUUGAGGGGAAAUUUUUCCAACUAGACCGAUAAAUGAGAAAAAGUACCAGUCGUACCAAGAACCAAAGGCGCCAGCUUUCAUUGAUAUAUAUACCGUAUCUUUUAGCUGAAAAAUCUAUGGAUAAGAACCGGCUCUGGGAGGAGGGGUGGCGCGACAGAGCAAUGAAAAGCUGGGAUCUUUCCUUAUCUUCGGUCGUGACGCCUUUUCCAUUUGUAUGAGAAAGCGCUACAAAACAUCCUUCCCGCGGGUUAUCUUCUACUCAAGCAAGCUCUCUCCUAUUCUUCAUCCACCAACUAGCAGGAACGUAGGAGCACAAGAGGGUCAUCAUCUUCUGAAACGAUUGGCUUUCGAUCUGCUUUCCAAGAGGUGGUUUCUGACAUGACCAAAAAGAGUGGAAUUCUUGUUAGGAUUGGCAUGUCAAGUUGCUUUCUCGGACCCUAACAUAAACCACCUUAUCCUCACUCAGAUUGUUCUUUUGGACUAAGCAGAAGCACGACCUCUAUCUGACGUUUUCUCUAUCCCUUCUAAUCUCUCAAUGGCAUUUCCGUCUCUCGAUUCAAUCAAUCAAGUAAGUCCAGAUGACACUUGUCUUUAUUUAGUGUUUUCCCGACUAUUCAGCCAUUACUUGCAUCUCAGGUUCUUUGUACCCGUUUUUAGUGCCAUGCACACUGAGGUUUCUGGCAUGACCGAAUUUUUUGAGAAUAUCGCUUAUUACGUUAAUUUCUUCAUCUUGAUGUACUCAAUCCAUUCAAAUUCCAUAAUUCCAAUGCUAUAAUCCCUAUAUUAAGAUGAAAUAAGAAAGCAUCAGUCCUCUUAUUUUCUGUCUUCUAUGAAAGAAUGUAGCUCGCUCUUUCAACCCGGGGCCCCCUCUGGGGAACUGUUUGAGUUUUAGCAUCGACCCCAUUUCCUUUUGAUCGUAUUACGCUUGACUCGCUGCAAAACAUUUCGCUUUCUGCGCCACGCUUGUACAUGGUUUACACUCCUAGCCUUUCAUCUGACUUUGUCAUCGGGAAAUUGUUUGUUUUCAACUGGAUUGGAUUUCGAACCAAGAAAGAUAGUCAACUUUCACUUGAAAGAAAGGAGCUUCAGAACUCUUGUAUUCCACCGAAUAAGAAUAAGAAUAAGAAUAAGAGCAAGAAGGGGCUAUCUUUGUGAAGGGACCGGCACCAGAGAGUAGAUCAUAUGGCAUUUCUUUCGCCAAAAUCAAGUAAAGCCCCGGCCAAAGAAAUGCAGCAAAGCAAGUCGUCUUUGGUUUGGAGCGAAAUUCCCGGAUGUAUAGGCUUGAUCGAGUGCCUUACCUGAAAUCGAUGAUAUAAAGUGGGCUCUUUAGCUUGCUCCGACAGAGGUCUCCUUCUCCCUUAGCAGCGAGACCAGACCCUACCUCUUUUCAAUCAAUCUUUCACACCGUAUGCCUUUUCUAUGCCUAAAACAAGUUCAUGUCUCUCCUCUCUGAAGUCGGACCUUAUUGAAAAGUAGUACGCUUUCUUUCGUGGUGUUCAGGAUCCCAUGCUUUGUAGUUCACGCAUGGCUUUCUCUAACGAAGCUAAUGCCUAAUUAAAGACCUUAAACGGAAAGACACAGGAGGUGGCGAAAAACGAAAAAAGAGAAAGAGCUUACAAACUUCUCUGAACCCGGUAGCCAGCGGAGCCCUUAUUCAUGGGUUAGGGACUAGCAUUGAACAAAGUUGGUGAUAGUCGAAGAAAAAGUGAAAGGGCAAGUAAAUAAUCUAAACAUGCGGGUAAGCAGCAAAAAGAGAAUAAAAGUAACGUGCCCUACCUGUUAGUAAAGUAAGGCCUUCCAGAGCCUAUCUAACAUAGACAUACACGCGGAUGAGGACACAGAAAUAAAUGGACGUCGAUCCGGUACUGAAAUUGCAUAGCAAAAAAUGCAAUAUGUUCAUACUUGAUGAAAUGCACAUCAUCCAAUUCAUGAUUUAAGAACAAGAGAAUGAGAUAUUUACUUUUUUUACAUCUGUAACUACAUUCUCACAUUUCUUUUUUGAUCUCAUGACUUUUUAUGCGAUCGGAAAACGAAUGAGAUUAGAAAGGCCAUCAUUGGGGCAAACAAUGCAAUAGCUUCGGUGAGAGCAAAGCCCAAAAUGGCAUAACCAAAUGCUUGUUUAGCCAAUGAUGGAUUUUGCGCCACGAAAUGAAUCAAAGAACUGAGGACGUUUCCAAUACCGACAGCAGCUCCGGCUAAAGCAAUUGUAGCAGCUCCGACACCUAUUGAUUUAGCACCUUCUAACAUCUCGAGUCGAGAAAACACUUUUCUUGUCACGUUUUCAUUCGCUGUUCUUUCUUGGAUUUCUUAUUGAUGAUUCGAAGUACUUGGGCCUGCACCUCCAUAAUUUUCAAAUAUUAAGUUAUGCGGAACACUAAUUUGAUACAUAUUAUCACAAUUUGCAAGGCUUGUCACGUAUUCAAGAAAAUGAGUUGUGGAUUGAAAAUCAUCAGGUAUAGGUAUAGGUAGGGGGUCCGUCAACCCUUGUGGGGCUGGGUGGGGUAUCCUGAACUACUGGAGCAGCUCCCCCUUGUGGCUGGGGUAGACUCUCAGCAGCUUGGUUUACGCAUGGCACGAAAAUCUAUCUUUAAUAAUUAUGUGCAAAAAGUCCAAAGUAGCCUAUUGGGGUUCAGUUGGCAAGAAAAGCCUUCUUCCUACAUCUGCGAGUAAGGGGCAACCUUUUUGAUUAAUUCACAGUUAAGGCAAAGUGCUUUCUUUUAAUGGACAAUUGCAUUUUUACCCCUAGUUGGUUCGUACCCACGGGUUUUGCCCUUACUUUUCGAGCUUGCUCAGUUUUGCCCUUACUUUUUCCAUCAAGGUCCCUCGAAUGCCCUUUGACCGUUUGACCAAAACUUGGAAAAUUCAUAACUAAUUCAUACAAACUCAGAAAAAUGCAAAUAUGCUAUCAAAAUGUUCAGAUAAACAUAACCUUUAUGGGCAUAUCAUUUGCAUUCAGGAAAAAAGCAUCAUUUAAACUACCCGAGGUAAUUAAUGUUAUUAACAUUAUUAAAAAUAAAUAGGUAUAAACAAUAUUUUUUUCAUGAAUAAAAAUUAUAUGCAAAUGUAGGUGAUGUUUUCUGAACAUCUUGAUAACUUAGUUGCAUUUUUCUGAGUUUGUAUCAACUUGUUAUGAAUGUUCUAAUGACUCUGACCAUUAUUUGAAAAUUUCAUAACAAUUUGAUACGAAUUCAGGAAAAUGCAAACAAGGUAUCAGGAUGUUCAGAAAACAUCACCUACAUUUGCAUAUAAUUUUUAUUCACGAAAAAAUAUUGUUUAUACCUAUUUAUUUUUAAUAAUGUUAAUAAAAUUAAUUACCUUGGGUAGUUUAAAUGAUGCUUUUGUCCUGAAUGCAAAUCAUAUGCCCAUAAAGGUAAUGUUUAUCUGAACAUUUUGAUAUCAUAUUUGCAUUUUUCUGAGUUUGUAUGAAUUAGUUAUGAAUUUUCAAAGUUUUGGUCAAACGGUCAAAGGGCAUUCGAGGGACCUCGAUGGAAAAAGUAAGGGCAAAAUUGAGCAAGCUCUAAAAGUAAGGGCAAAACCCAUGGAUAGGAACCAACUAGGGGUAAAAAUGCACUUGUCCCUUCUUUUAAAUAAGCAUCUGGUUCCAUCUUUCUAUCGUUAUUUAAGCCACCUUUUUCUAAGAAGGAUUUUUGUAAUUCUGGAUUAAUAGUACUUAGAAUGGCUUUUUCAUAUUGAGAAAUUCUGUCUAGUGGCAUUCGAUCACAGAAGCCGUUGACAGCAGCAUAAAUCACAACAAGUUGUUUUUCAAUUGGAAGUGGUUCAUAUUGUGGUUGUUUGGGAACUUCCGUAAGCCUUGCACCUCUAUUGAGUAAUGCCUGAGUUGCAGCAUCAAGGUCUGACCCAAAUUGAGCGAAGGCGGCCACUUCGUGAUAUUGUGCCAAUUCCAGUUUUGAACUACCACAGACUUGUUUCAUAGCUUUCAACUGAGCGGCAGACCCGGCGCGACUGAUGGAUAAGCCAAUGUUAAUAGCUGGUCUAAUUCCGCGAUAAAAGAGCUCUGUUUCCAAACAGAUUUGUCCAUCUGUAAUGGAGAUCACAUUGGUGGGGAUAUAGGCCGAUACGUCUCCAGCUUGUGUUUCAAUCACGGGUAACACAGUCGAGCUACCUGCACCUGUCUGGUCCGAUCGUUUAGCGACUCUUUCUAAGAGACGGGAAUGUAAAUAGAAAACAUCCCCUGGGAAAGCCUCACGGCCUGGUGGUCGGAGUAACAAUAAUGACAUUUGUCGAUAUGCCACCGCCUGUUUACUUAGAUCAUCAUAUAUAAUUAAUGCAUGCAUUCCAUUAUCGCGAAAAUAUUCCCCCAUGGCACACCCUGAAUAUGGGGCCAGAAAUUGCAGAGGAGCAGGAUCCGAAGCGGUGGCUGCUACAAGAAUGGAAUAUUCCAAAGCAUUCGCUUCUGAAACAAUCUGAACUAAUUGUGCCACAGUCGAGCGUUUUUGUCCAAUCGCAACAUAGACACAAUACAAUGUCUCACUCUCAUUUGUGCCCCUUGAGUUCAUUUGCUUUUGGUUUAAAAUAGUAUCGGUAGCUAUUGCAGUUUUUCUAGUUUGUCUGUCCCCGAUUAUAAGUUCUCGUUGACCACGACCUAUAGGAACCAGGCUAUCCACUGCUUUUAAGCCUGUUUGCAUGGGUUCGUGCAUAUAUUUACGUUCAAUAAUCCCUGGGGCUUUCACUUCGACACAUGUUCGUUCGUGAUCGCUUAGAGCCCCCUUUCCAUCAAUAGGUACUCCCAAGGCGUCGACCACAUGGCCUAACAUGGCCUUUCCCGCAGGAACAUCCACAAAUAGAUCCAGUGCGCUUGACAAGAUCUCCUUCUUUAAUAGCGGUAUCACUACCAAAGACAACAAUACCUACAUUCUCAUUCUCAAGAUUUAAGGCGAUUCCUUUCACAUCACUGGCAAAUUCCACCAUUUCUCCUGCUUGAAUCUCGUUCAAUCCAUAAACAUGUGCAAUCACAUCUCCAACUGAGACCACUCGACCAAUCUCAUCCACUUGAAAAUUCAUGUAAAAGUUGGUCAUUCUACUUUCUAAUAGAGUCGUGAGUUCCGCAACUCUAGGUGAGAAUUCCAUACUUUAACAAAUUAGAUGGAUGAUAUUUUGAAGGGAGAAAUCCGCUUUCAAGAAAAAGAUCUUUACUUCACACAAUCUCGAUUUGAAUUCUCAUUUGGUGAACCGGGCAUCUCGGACAAAGACAAUAACAAGAAGAGAUGGGAAGACCCUUCGCGGUCCUGCUCCCUGGUCUCUACCUUGCUUACCGCCCCUCGUAGGGGCCAGCAUACCCAUACCGAAAACGAUUCACUCUUUUUAUGGGCGCUUUCGACUAGGCUCUCAUUAAGGAAUCGGCCCAAACAAGACCGAGAUUCCCGCGAGAAUUGCUACGCUGCCUACAGUGAAAUUGCAAGAAUCACUUUAUAUGCUAUUUCGAAAUCGAAUGAAUUGAGCAACUAUAUUUCCCCAGGUUUCCAUUGGAAAAGUGGCUUUUUUUGUAUGCAAGUGAUGAUCGAUUGGCGGAGAAGCCGCUCCCGUGUGGGGUGGCCGUGAGAAUGAUUCUGAGUCUUCCUGACCAGACCCAUGUGGAACUUGUAAAUAAAUAGGUUUGUAAGUGCCUAGCUGAGUAAUAAGAUAAGUACCUUUGCUAAUAAUCCAAAACCUUUCAUCUUCUCUUUCUAGAUAUAGCAGCCUACCCAUAUUGAUAGUGGAAUUAUUGAUCUCCUCUUUUGGAUAGCCCAUUUUGAAUAAGUGUUAUGGGUAAGGGCUUGACCUACCAGUUGAAUGGAAUCUACCGUUCUUUAUGCUCUUGCUAGCUUUGAACUUGUUUGUACCAGUAAUCAAACCCAGAAUCUCAUUUCCCAUUGCUUUCAUCACAUAGAGCCAGAUGCCGCAUCCAUAGCCUGGUUUAGGUCUAGGUCAUAAUGAAUUUUCUGAUACCUUCCUUCGUCCAUAGAUCAGCGUUAUGCUUCUGUCCCGUGAUGAAGAAGGAUAGAAGAAUGGUAAGAUAGGAUCAUAUUAGUGAGCCGUGGGAAAAGAGUUUUUUCGUACCUUGAUUGGACCCACCCAAAAGCAACAGGAAUCUCUUUCUCCUCCUAUAAGGAAAUCUCAUCAUUUCACUCUUCUUCAAGUACCAUCAGAUUAGUCAACUCAAACGCUGAGAGAUUACUAUAGAACCAAGGCUGCUUUGAGGCUGGCUCCACUCUCCAAAUAGAGCAGUUACUUCGUUGACGACAAGAACCCCAUUUCUGCUAGCCAAAGAGCAAUUCAUUUCUUUGACUCUAUGCCUCCUCAUUUGCUCCCAUUCCCAUACUAAUAAAAGAAUUAGGGAAAUGCGAGGGAAAAGAAUGCCAAAAGCAUUUAGAGAUUUGACUGGGAUUCAUUCUGGCUCAGAUGGAGAGGGAUUGCUAUAACUAUUUUUAGAAGCAUUAAUGAGAUCUCUUUUUUUCUUCAUAAGCUUGCAUCAUGAAUCCCACUUCCCACUUUACCUGCUUCUUUAGAAGUCUCACAUCUCGGUUUAAGAAAGUGCUCGCUAUAUUCCCAUACCUUCCUGUGCUUAAUACCUAGCUUCAAAGAGCCACUCUUUUAUUUCAUAGCCGAGAGGCAUGAACGGUUGGGAAAAACCCUCUCCUGUGUGGGUCGUAAGAGUCGAUUAUCCAAGCGAGACCUUAGAGGGGAGGACACACCAUAGCACCCAUUGGUAGACUAGACUCCGGAGCUUCAAACAAACUUACAGUAAGCCUAAUCAAAGCAGGCGCCCUCACCUCCUUCACCGCCGGCGUCUACGGUUUGGGUGAAGGUAUCAGCUCUGAUAUCAUGUGUUAAAAAUUCUUCCCAUUUUCCUGUGAUAGUCAAUAAACACAACCCUUACGUAUCCGUAUUUUGUAAUCACCUUUCCCUUCCCGUCGCUUCCUUAUACAAGAAUUCUGAUGACACGUGCAACCCCGGCUACUUUGCUACCCUACUAUUAACAAUUACGGAGUUUUGAUUGUUUAUCCAAUGCAGCUUAAUAUGGUUAUGCCAGCAAGGAGCAUGAACUGAAUCUGGUUAUUUACUUAGAAGAGGAAACGUCUAGUCAGCAGAGCAGCACAACGGAGUCAUCAUAUUAUCAUAUUCUUGAGUCUCUCCCCACAGGAUGACCGCUUCCACCAGACUCUAUUUCUAUUGGUUCACCUUAGAUUUAUUGGUUGUCUACAUCCGUCUAAUCCUUAUCUAUAAGAACAUAAUCGCUAAGCUAUGGAUGCUUCAGCCGCACUCUCUACUCAGCUAUCUGUUUCUACUGCGUUGCGUUUUGAAGGCCCGAUACAAAAGAAAGUGGCCUUACUUAUUAGUAGUGAUGGAGACGUCAGGUCCGAGAAGGAAUAACCUAAAGCCAGUGAUAUAAUCUGUACAACCGGCAGGAGCGAUUGAUCAGAUAUCGCAGGAAGAGUGAACUAGUAGGCUUAUUGAUCCUCCUAUCAGUGGUAGUCACAAAGCCCGCACAUUCCAAUUCUAUCAUAACAUGACUAGUUUCCUAAGGCAUGACUUAACUUCCCAGAAUAGCAAGCAUAUCAUAGCUAUUUCACAUAGUGUCCCGAGAUAUCAGUAGCUCUAGUCAAUGCUGGCCUUACUCUUCCCUUUCCUUAUGCAAGUGGCAACCUCUUGUUUAAGAGUGCGGAAUCCUAUUUGUGUAUCAGAAGACUAUGGUGACCCGUAGAUCUUCUAUUUCACUGGAAUUCGUUGAUUGUCAUUUACAAUGUUCGUUGUAAGAUCACUGAAGGUCCUAAAUUGGGAGAGUUUGCUUGCUAUCGAACAAAUAGUGGAAUCUAAAAAAACAAUGAAAUCCAUUCACACAAGCUGGACCAUUGCCUUCGGCAACGCCCUAAUUCCUUUCCUAUCUUUCUUCUUUUUCUCAAGGACCUGUAAGAAGAAGCAAAUCCCUUUCUUGAAUGGCCGAGGAAGAGGCGGCACUGAACAGAACAAGAUCCCCCUCUACCUAUCCUUGGGGUUGUGCGCAUUCUUAAACUUGAGCUGGGUAGGACUCAGGAGAAGGGUGCCUCGGGAGAUAAGUAGUUCCUCACCUAAAGCCCUCGUAGAGUCUAAGUAGUGGACCAGAAAUAUGACAUCCUUCCCGCUGUACUAGAUUUUAUCUGGUUAAAGCCAGGUGUGCACAUUAUAUUCAUUAUAGAAGAUAUAGAAGAUACUACCAUGCCAGCUGUUUCUUAUUGGUAAGCUGGCUUUUCGUCGAAUGUCUCUAAAGAGUGAUGGUGAGUCGAGUAGCAUGAAUUGUCUAUCCAAGGGGUCGCUAAUGCGUUAUUUGUAUAGGAUCUCAGUUAUUAUUGUCAGCUAGAUCUACAUAAUAUGCUUCACGUGGAGCCCUUACUUGGUUCGAUUGGCAUUUUUCUUAUCAUCCAUCCACAUAGGGAGAAAGGCCAAGGGCCCAGUGGAGUGAUAAAAUGAACUAUCCAAAUUAAGCUAAUCCUGUGUCCAAGUUCAAACCCCACAUAGCCACUCUUCUUGAUCCCCCACCAUCACUUGAACCGAAGAAUCAACCCGUUUCUUUGCCAAUGGGUUUCUGCACAGAGAGCUAGAUUAGGGAUCGGAUCUGCACCUUUCACUAGAUUAAGGUACAAAAUCCCUUACUAGGUUUGGUAAGUAUGUUAUGAAGGUGAUAAGUCAUCAAACUUCUCGGUAGUGCAAUGGAUUAAGGUAAAUGUGCUAGCUUUCCUCCUGCUGGUUGAUGAAACCGGACCUAUCCCAUAUCUCAAAAUGGCCCCGUACACUCCAAUGGGAAGUACAGAAAAGGGGAAGUGCAGAAAAGAAGGAUCCCCAAAUCAGAGGGUAUAUAAACAUUGUUUGAUUAAGGGAAUUAGAGAAUAGAGAGCAAUGGGAUAGGAAAAGCUCACGGGAAUGCAGGUACCGUUUCCCAGGGAAAAGAAAAGGGAACUUCACCUCUUCCAACUAAUAAGAUAAGGCAAUCCAAUCCUGAUUCAAGAUCAUGUUGUCUCAACAUAGCAAUGCGUGUUAUGGCAACCUGAUUGUGAUAACAACAUCAAAGCCAAGAAAUCAAGGUCAAACAGUUCAUUCCGUCAUCAACUGUCAAUUCUUUCGAAAGACAUGCGAAUGAACUACGCAUUCGAUCCUUAUCAGCAAGGUCAUCACUUGUACCAAGUCUUAGAAAGGCAGCUGCGGCAUGUCUUCUCUAUGACGUUAGGGCAAGGCUGCCUCGCCAGCAAUGGUUAGUGCAGUAAGGAUAGUCGAAUGUGAACUAGCUUGCUCUACUUGCGGAGAAAAACCAACCAAGAGGCGAUGGAACCCUCAGAAAACUGCUAAUAUUGCCCCGGGCAGUACUGGCCAUAGACUUGAGCGCAAAGGAGAAGAAGGCAGGAUAUGGAAACAGCAAACACAGGGAUAAUCCAGGAAGUAGCAAAGAAUCUAGUAUUCCACUAUAGAUAGGUCUAACAGAUCAACAUAUCCAUGAAGAAUAGGCUGACCCUAUCCACCUCCUUUGCGGAAUACCAGAUCAAGAGAUGAAUUAGCGGAUCACGGGGCUAAGUCGAAGCAUGCCAGAACCUUCUUUAGUAGUGAGCCGUACCGACUAGCUCCUAGCAAGGGCUUCAAGAUCACAAAAUGCCUGCCAAAACUUUCCAUGGGUAUGAAUGUCAUGUUCAAAGCAGGUUUCUCUAGACACCUUGGAAAAGAUCACUGACGAGCUCAAUUUCAAAGUGUGAAUGAAAUUAUCAGUUUCAUCCUCUUUAUGAGCCUGAGAUCAUAUGGGUCAACAAUUCUCUUUUCUUAGUUAUAGAUUCUAUAUUCUCAAGGAAGUGAGCCACUCAACCCCAGCCUAGCGGAUUCUCCCCGUUACCUGGACCUGCCUCUCCCGCAGUCAAAACUCUCCUCUACAGCCCCUCUGGCUGGGCCAGAAGCCUCGUCUCCUUUAACUGAUUCAAGUGAUUAAGUAAAAAUGAAAGUAAUCUCACAUAAAAUUGGAUUAUCUAAAAACUCGUGAAAAUGACAACGCUAAAUCGGAAGUCCUUUAUUUAUAUACAACACACACAUAUUCCUCCCUUACGAACAUGAAAAUCUAGUGGAUGGUUUGGAAGGCUUUGACCUGAUCUUUCAAUUUAUAAUGAGAGAAAAUCCCUAGAAAGAUGGAAGUCAUCAUCAUCCCCUUUAUCGAUCACAGCCUCUUCCCCCACCCAUGAUUUCGUUUUCCCAUUGACAAAUCAGACGAAGACGAACUUGCAUUUGUUGAAUCAAGAAAAAGAAAAGAAGUGUUCUCUUUCUCCAGUGAAAAGAACAGUCUAGCAGGAAGAUCCAAACACUUACUAUAUGUGCGUUUAUGUAUCAACUCUUAUAUAGUCUAGUUUUCCCGCCCUAUCUAGAGAAGGAAUCAAUUCCCCUUUUUGAAUGUACAAAAAUUGGUAGAGCUCAACAUGUCUGGAAGCACAGGAGAACGCUCUUCUACUUAUAUUAUUACCAGUAUUCGAUACUGUGUUAUUCAUAGCAUUACUAUACCUUCCUUAUUCAUUGCGGGUUGGUUAUUCGUCAGCCCGGCUUUCACUUGGAAAAAUAGGAGAUUUAGUUCCACGCUUUGAUUGGUAGUAGAAGGGAGGGCGCGUUGCCAACCUACAUUUUUCUUGGAUAUUCAACACUAAAUGAAAUGCAAAUGCAUAUGAGAGAACUUCAAACUACUUUACUUAUUUGCAACAGCAAGCUGAAUAAUAGAAUAAACAAGCAAGGAAGGAACGAAAGAAUAGGGUUGUCGCUGAUACGCUGUUUGGAUUAGAUGUCGCAAUAUCGGUUGUAGUAUUUCCACUCUUUCUAUAAGCUAAGAGAGAUGUCGCAUAAUCGGUUGUUCAUGAUCUUAUAAUUCAUGGACCAAAGUCGCAAAUCGCUUGUUCUCAUUCAAGCAUGAGUUCGUUCAAAGUCGGAAAGGGGAAUCAGAGAAAGGGCUGUUUAGGUAACUAUCAUGACCAUGGGAACAUUUGUUCGCUUUCUAGGUACCCCCGGAUCUACUAGUCAUCGCCUUUGAGCUGGGAAAAGCAUUUACCCUGAGUCGGCUAUUCCUGAUUCAGAAAGGAAAGGUAUGUGGGUAGACAUUGAGUUAGAGAUUGAAUGAAGGGGCACACUAGAGAAAAGCAAGGACAAGUAGCUACUUGACUAAUGCUUUUGAGCAUGUACGCUGGCGCUCUUUGAUAGAGCAUUAUCUACAACCCUGAAGCGAACUAUGAAAAAGAAAUCUAGCAGUCUCUUACAGAAAUGAAUUGUAGCAGGGCUUGGUCUCGAAAGGUAUAGAUACCACCAGAAGCUUGGAAAGAAGAAGGAAUGUCGACCUACCGCUUCGUGGGCUUUGAACCGUGCUUUUCUGUCAAAUUCUCAGACGCUAUAGGUGUGUAAAAACAGUACUCGAUUUCUCACUAGAAAAAACAACAGUCUUUAUUGUUGUGUGCAUAUUAGUCACUGAUUAUAGCUUUGAAUAGGACAAACUACUUUAGUAGCUGUUGACUAUUGCUUGAAACAAGCGUUGAAGCAAUGGAAAGAAGCGAACUGUUAAGCUAAUGCAGCAAGAAAAGGGAUGCAGCAAGUGUCCAAAAAUCGGAUAUGCCCGGUGAAAAUUAGAAACAAGGCUGAGGAAGGAUUUCGUACUGCCACAAUGCUCUUGAUAGAAGGAAGCAUGAAUACCGAAGGCCUACCUAGUUGAAAUAGGAACAGCUAUGGAAGUCCUCGGCCAAACGAAUAUUUCACGGAAAGCCGACAAGGGAUUUUCUUAAUAACUGGGCGCUUUGAUUCUUUGGAACAACUCGAUGAAUUUAGUAGAUCUUUUUAGGAGGCCUUCCAUGACCAUAGAUCAAACCUAUCCCAUUUUGACAGUAAGAUGGUUAGCUAUUCACGGAUUAGCUGUACUGGAAUGACAACACAUAUGAGAAUCUGUACACAAUACAGAAUAACGACACGACACGCAAUCUUAUGACUACAGUAUGGCCUUCAUCUUUGACAGCAAUCAUGUCAGGCCGCGGUAUUAGCGUUAGAGAAAGGAAAGGACUUGAGGUUCGUCCACCUACAACUAAUAAAGCUCCGCCUUUGGGGACUACUACAAUAGAUAGGCAUUUGAAGGACCAAACCACCUACUGAGGACUUUGACACCCAGCCCUUAAUAAGCAGAAUCUACAACUUUGGGAUACGUAUUUACAGAUUGCAAAAGAUAGAUACAAUGUUGUUACCCACCAUGCAUGCAAAUCUUAGUUCUAUGGACUACUAGUACCAGAAACGUCAUCUACUACUGCGAAACUCCCGGGGGACGCUUUUCUAACUGGUUUAGCCUCUAGAGUGGGGAGGAAGAACACCCUCUAGACCAGGAUAACUUACUAAUUCAAUUGACAAAGCGUCCUAUUUGCUAGAUUUCUAGUCGUUAGCUCUUAGUGAAGACGAAUUGCUAUCAUCUGCGGGCGGCCCUCAUUAUUGAAUUUAUCCGCCUUCGAUGCAACCAAAUUCACUAUUGACUUACGAGCUUAUGCAUGCUUCAUUCCUAUAUUGGCAUGUAUUAUCCGUAGGCUGGUUGUGAGACAUCUUCCUCUUAGUGCUACAAAUGGCUUCUUCCGUAGUUCUUUAUAGCUCUUUCACCUCUUUUAGACUCUUUGCAAUGUUCAGUGCGGGGAACUCUACACUAUUGUACUCAGAUGCUAUUCCUUCAAGAAAGUAUCGGAAAGCAAAAAAGGGACUCGUUCACCGUAUCGCGUCCAAUACAGCUAUGCCACAAGUUGAUCUAACCAACUGGUAAACAAAACCCAAGUUAAGAGAUCGACCUAGGAAUAGGAUGAAUAGAACCAUUGAAUCGUCACCCAAUGGAGCAGAGAGCCUUCCUUUAAGAAAGAAAUAACUCCCUACAACAACCGUGUUUCGAAACUCGAUUCAUUAUCAUACGUGAAAUUGCAUGAAAAGAACCUUCAUUCCUACAGAGAGGUUGAAGCUAAGUUUCAAGACCUAGUACGGGCAAAGCGCAGUUCAAAACCGAAAGGAUCAAAGAAAAGGGAAUAUCACGAAGGUGAGCACAUUCUAUUUUCCUUAAUUGACAAAGCAAAGGGAGUUAUCAACCCUUUUUUCCGAAACCCUAUAACGGCUAGUUCCCAAUGCUCGGCUUCCUACCUCCUCUAACAAAAUCAAAGGAAAUAUCCUUCGUUUUCCAAGAAGAUAAGUUCUACGACAAAGGAUGUCAACGGAACAGUUUCGGCAAAGGCAAAGCCCGGGAGAAAUCCAAUAGCGUAUGGCGAUAAUGUCAUCCCCACCGAAUCUUCAUCUUCAAAGCAUUUUCUUGCAAGGUCCUAUCGCGAAAGAACUCAAGCCAAUACUUUUUCAUUUUCAUGUAGUAGAUCCUAGGAAACAUACGUACGAGAUAUUUACCGCCCUUCUUCGGCAAGGGUAUCCGAUAAAAGGAGGGCGAUUCCUAAUCUUUUGAUCGGCAAAGGGUUCGAUGCAUUAGUUUUCGACUAUGAACGAGUCAAUCAGCUAGAUCCACUUGCGGCAAACGGCACCUUCCUUUCCCAGCCAAUGGUACGUAAGGCAAUGGUUGUUAUUGAAGUUCUGAUCAGGGAAUACCCUAGGUUUCGGCUUUUUCCACGGUUCCGUAACGGUAGGUUUCGGCUCCUUGCUACAUCCCUUCCGCUCCUACUAAGGACGCUGCUGAACCGAUAGAAUUUGCCGAGCGAGCACUACCAUAACUUAUGGUAUCUGACCCAUGUUAAGCAUUAGCCAUCCAGGGAAUGAAACUAUGUGACUACCUGCGCUGUCACACGGCUCCAUUUAUCGAACAAAGGGAUAACUGCCAUUAAGGCAAUGAAAUUGACGAGGAAGAGUCAGGAGUUUUGCUGCGCCAAAGCAGAGGAACGGAGGGAAGCAGCUACCGCUGCACGGGUCCUGCGCAUUAUCAAAACCAGGCAAUGUAGUCAAUGAACAAACGUUUCGUUUACCACUGGGGUUGUUCAUAUGCACAGUCAGCUCAAGUAACGUCCAGAGGUGUUAAUACAAAGCAAGAAUUGGAUUCUAAGUAUUGCCAUUUCGUGUUCAGUAGUCUGAAGCACAUUAUUUGCGGGAAGCAGCGAGGAAGAAAAGCAUACCAUAUUGACGGUAGUGCAGAAUGAUCUCUGUCACGAUAUCGUACGUAUCUCCAGAGCACGAACGUACGGUAUACAACCGAGUUUCCCGAUGUCGGACACAACAAACUUUCGAGCACCCUGUUCAUUUAGCCUGUUAAUUGAUGGAAAGAAAAUAGAGGUCUGCAGCAAACAAGAGCAAGCGACACUAAACUAGAGUAGUGAUAAAUUGGCGGAACCUUCUGAUAAAAUGACAGAUUGGAAACCAACAUGUCCAGAAAGUCUGAAGGAUAAGGCUUCUCUCAUCCAAAGAACGGUACUGAAGGCGAAAGAUACUCCAAAAUAUGUCAUUGGAUCCAGCUGCAACAAUGAAGAGCGUCGUCUUGAAGAAAUCACUUGCUGCUUCCUCCACCAUGUUCUCCAGUAUCUGGUCUUUUUGAAGUAGCUUAUUAGCUGAUAAGCACUUGCUAAGGCAUCUAGCUGAUGAGGUAAUCUCUGCAUAUAGUACCAACCAAGUUGGUUGUUGUUACUACAUGCUGCGAGCAUUUGGGAAAAUGACAGAAACAUAAAAUGGGUUUCUAGCUGCAUAAGCACAAUUAUACAGAAAGCAGUCUCCUUUAUUCGUAUCUGGGGAAAGGGUUGGUUCUCCAAAUUCUCUUUAAAGAAUGUUAAAGCAGUACUAUAAUUUUCUGGUGAAAUGGAAAGUGGUUGCUACCAUAUUUUUUGUAGUGAUUACAUCAUAAUCCUCAUCUUCAAAGCAAGGCUAUCCACCAGGGCUUCCAAUGCUAGGCUAACCUCGGCAAAGAACCCAAGGGAUUUGCAAAUUCUUGAAUCAAUAGACUUUCGUACAACGGCAAGCAAACAGACGCGAUAGAGGGUUUUACGCUACUUCACAGUCAGCAGCAAGAGUGGAUGGUAUAACUCUAGCCAGCAGGCGGGAGGGAACGAAGCUCUUUCCUGAUCUUGAGCUAGAAUCCCUGACGUUGGUUGAUUUAGUUGUGGUGUAGCUUAGGAUCUUAAAGCUAUGAAGCUGGGUUGAUCCCUAUCGAUGGAAUGGAGCUUAUCAACUCAUGAAUAGCAUGGAUCGCCUUCUACUAUACCAGGCUAAGGUGCAACAAUGGAAGCAUACCAUGGAUAAUCCAGAGAUACAUCCUACCUAUGCCGAGAGCACGAAGAUCAAGCUAAGUAAACAAGUCUAGUUAAAGCCCACUGGAGUAAGGAAAAUACAAUAGGUUGCUUUUUUUCCCACCAUACCUGGCAAUGAUUGGUAUCCCUUGAUAUGUUAUCACAAACUAACCAGUUGUCCCUUCCCCUAGAGGGGUUUCCUAUAUUGAUUCGUUCCCCUGAGCAAUUUCCAUGAAUUGACGUAUAUGAGCGUAGUUAUCAGGUACGCCGGGAGCUAGAUUCUAUCCCCGGGGAUAGUGAUUGAUGGCAUAGAGUUUUGAUAGGAAACUCGUAUCAAAAUCAUACCAAAAGAAAGUCUCGAUUCGAGGAACGGAAUACAGGUCCAUGAUAGAACAUAGACCGGUAAGAGAAAGGAAAGUAAGCAUAGUCUUCAUUGAACCGGAAGAAUAAUUAGAUUUUCUGUCAACAAAGUAAUACUGUGCAAACUCAUCUGAUCCCUAUUUGGGACUUCUUCUUCAUGUCACGAGCCGGAAUCGAACCGGCGCUUUCCAGAUGCAUGGUCCGGAUAGAUACCUAUCAGAUCGCGACUUUGAUUUCUCAGUUCAAGAGGAGACCUCCCUACAUCUGCGGGCUGGCGGACCUGCCGACCAGCCGACACAAAAUCCAAUUCGAGUUUGAAAUACGGAGCCAGAAAGAGUCGAGUUAGAAAUACAGAGCCAGAAAGAGUAGAGUUAGAAAUACGGAGCCAGAAAGAGUCAAGUUAGAAAUACGGAGCUUAUACUAGUUCAAUGAAAAAAUGGCGAAAAAGACUUAGAAGGGAAAAUACCAAAACCGCAUAUAAAAAGACAUAAAAAAAUGAAUAUACAUAGGUACCAUAGGCAAAAGAGGCUGGCUGCUCAAAUAAUUAAAAUGCAUUUGAUAAAACAUAUGCAUUUGAUAAAACAUUUGCAUUUGGUAAAACAUCUGCAUUUGAGAGAAGUUCAAGUAAUCCAUAUUUGCAUUUGCGGCGACAAAAUUAGGAAUCUGAGAAUAAGGGUUUGGAUUAGGGGGGGAGGGGAAUUUAUUGAUUCCUCCAACUCCAUGUAGUUAGAACUCACACUUUCAACACUAAAAGCCGGCCCAUUGACCGAGUUUGGGUAUGACGACGAAGGGUUAAAUUCCACAAUCAUUCCGUCCAUGGAAUCCGGGAUAAAAAAGGAUCCAUCGUGACCCCCCAUCUUGUUAAGCUCUGCUCCCAAACUAAAGAGAAAUGAAAGGAGACUGAUCUUGACGUCGGUGUCGGUUUUUCCAAUGAAACGAAUAAGUUUUGGAUUGAGAUUUCACAUAAGCAUUGCACAAUGAUCCGCAUUAGGCAGGGAGCAGCAAUGAUACCGCCGGCCAGGAAUAAGUACCUAUCCCUCUUAUACUUAAGAAAAGAGAAGAGAAGCUGGUGUUGAGAAAUGAGAAGUGGGCUAUAUCUUCGGGGACUUUUUAAAAGCAGCUGAAAGGAAAUGAUGCUUCCUUUCUAUACGCUAAUUCUUGCUUUGAAGAGAUGUUCCAUACAAGGCAUUCUUAAGUCCCACCUCACCUAUAUCCAACUUUAGGUAUUCCAUUGUUUCUAGUAUAAUAAGCAGGUUUAAGCCAUGGAAGACAUGAGUCACUAAAGUGUUGUUAACUAGAUCGUGAAAGAUGUGCCAAAGAGGUUUUCUAGCACAUGGAAUAGCACUCGCAGGGGCAUCCUGUCAGUCGCCAGGCCAUGCACAUUUGAAAGAAUUCCCACACACAAUGGGAGCCGUUUCAACCAAUUCUGCUCUAUGUUGCAAACUAGGGGGCAUAAGCUACCAAACCCCUGGCUAAGAAUCUAUAUCAUACCGAGCAAUCAUUCCAUCUUCUUGAGAAGAAAGAACGCGUGAAUCCUUGCUUUGAGCUCACCUAUGAGUGCACCUAACAAGGUUUUCCAGACCUAAUAAACGUUCAUUGCAAAGAAAUGUUGACCUCUGAUUUAGAGAGGAUCAACCACAAUUUGAGAAAAGAAAAGUGCACACCGGCAUUAUGCCUCGUAAAGCUACCCCCAUUCAUAGCUUUAUUCACUGUCUGCUCGAAUAGCUUCAUUUCAAUGUUAGGAUGACCUGCAAGGUCGUCUAAAAUAGCUUCCACCUAUCUAGUUUCCAUGUGGCACACCAACCACAAUCACUUCAUCCCUUGGCUUCUUUAGCAUAGCUGCCUACCUCUUCAGAUCAAGGAUCAAAGACUACAGAAGCUCAAAGUUAUUGUCGCACACUUCCAUCUAGGAGAUGCAUGUUAAGCUAUCCCUUGGAUUAUAGCCUAGGAGAUCGAUUGGCAGGCCUUGUUCUAUGAAAAGAGUAUCCUUAUGGUUUAGGAACCCCAACAUCUAUUGAAAAGUAUGAUGCACCCCUCGGUUUACCAACAUUUCCAUUCAAUCUCAUUUAGAUUCUAUUAACUAACAAGCCGGGAUCCAAUUCCAUUUCAACCGCUGAGGUCAUUAAUGAACUAGAAAAGAGCUAAGGAACUAUUUCCAGAUACCUAAUCGGGAGCUGAACGAACUACUACUUCAAUAUGUCAUUGCAAUUUCAAAUGGGUUUCGAUGGCACUCAAGCAGCCUCACUACUUCGAUCUCAGUAACCUAAUGAUCUCCCCAAACCAACUCAUUCUCGGAAGGAGACAUGGCCAAGGGUGAACAAGAUAUGAUGGCUGAGAAUCUCUAUUCCUACAAAAUAACAUGAUUCACAUGCUCAAUACCCAGGACGGUGGUUCCUCCCGCCUGGUAGGUCUAAGAAUACAACCCCUACGACACAGUUGAAAUUAAUUGUCUCUCACUUCAAAGAUGGAUCCUCUGUUCCUUUGAAAUGCCUUUGAUACAUCAAUUCUGCACUUUUGAAAGUGAAGAUCUAGGUCCAAGAGGAAUGAAAUGAGCAUACCAGGAGUUGUCUAUUCACAUGUCAUAUGAAGAAUACUUAUUUUCAGAGAGUGCCUCCAGGUUCUCUAGUAGCUAUAUCAAACCACAACUCCGUACUAGCCAAGAGGCUUCGGUACUAACCAACACACCAGGAUUCAAAGAUGCAAAAAUAAAAAUGGAAGAUAAUACCACUGCUGUAGAUGCACGCCCUUCUCUUAGUUGAGAAGAACACAGGUAAGAAAGUCUAGAAAGUUCUGAGACUGGGGUAGGUGAAUCCAUUGACCUUGACGUAGGGCUUUCCCCUCCACCCGAUGGUGAUGACUUACUGAAGACCGGCCCUAAGCCAUUAAUGAAUUGAGCCUGGUGAACCAUUGAUAUAGCACUCUGCGGGGCGAAGGCUAUGCUUAUCACGAUAGUUUACAAAAGCUCUUUCCUGACCUGGAAUAGAUGAAUCCUAACAAGAUUCUAGACAUAUGCGGGAUGAAACAACAUCUACUCGAUUUUCAUUCACAAAGCCAUCAAGGUGGCACUCAAGAGAGGUUGUUGUCUACCUAAUGCCAUCCCUUCGAUCAGAUUGUAAUGGCACUAGCCCCGGUUUCACGGGUUUCGAUACCCCAACAAUGUGCAAGAACAUCCUCAAAAACGUCUAAUGUGACUUCACCUGAAAGUGCAUCUGGAACCACUCCCAGUGCUGAUUUAGAUGCUGUAGGAACAAACAAAGAUUGUGGUGCUGAAAAAAACGGACAACAGGAUAUGUCCUCUAUUGGCGUUUGAUAGCUCAUUGCUACCUUGCCAGAGGGAUGGGGAGAUAGACUCUGACCCAGAUCUUACUAUAGCCGCCAACGGAUCAAUUCAUUAAGGGCACACCCAGGCAAGGAAGAAUUCUCAAUUAGUCCAUUGAGUUUAGGAAAGGAUGCCAGUUUGGAACAGUUGGUGGAGCAUGGUGAAACACGCUCAUUUGGAGUGGCUGAAACAGAAACGUACUCGAGAGCUACUCAUCUUCCUAAAAGCUCUAGCAAUGCAAGACCUGUCCUAAUGCAAUAAAUACCGGUGCUCUCGAACUCAAUCAGCACAGGUACAGGGCCAGGUGCUUCUCCAGCUCUUGGUACCGUCUCUUGUGCCCCACCUGUAUAGCUAGGGUUAAGUAACCCAUUUAGGAGAAGAUAAGAGAAACACCAUCUGGAAAGGCAAGAUGAGCUUGGGUAUUGUUGUGCCAGGCGCCCACUCAUCAAUGCUGGUGAUUGGCCUUGUAUGGCUGCCUCAUCCCUUUCAGCAGAUGUACUACUUUUUAAAGCAUUAGCUAAUAUCUUAAUGCGGGAGUUUAUAUGGAGAAGAAACAAUCUUCCGCCUAGAUUAACUCAUUAGAAUGAAAUGGUGAGUUUCCACGAGGAGUUCUGGGAUGGUAAAAGGGGUGUAGAUAAAAUAGUCUGUGUGGAUUUGAGUCAUAGUAUCCACUAUGUUUCUAUUCCAUGUCUAUGGAAUACAUUAAAAUUUCUACACAAUCUGGGGGUGAUUUUGCAUAUCUUAAAGGAAUUUCUAUCUCUCCCGAUAUAUAAUGCCGACACUAACCUCCAAAUUCCCCAUUCGAAUUGUAUACCAUUGAUAGGUGAAUUGAGUGACGUGCUCCUACAUCUCUUUUCGCAACAUCAAUUUGAUAGGGAGGUCCUGAGCUGGUAUGAAGGUGUUCUUUAUACAAGAUGGGACACCAAUGUCCUUCUAGCUUCAACACGCUAUGAUUCAUACCAUCUUGACCGUCCUCAAAUUCUGGACAUCUUAAGGCACGUAAAUCUAAGUGGAUUUAUUUCCGUGAUCGAACGUGGUGGCGGGGGCAUGCACGUGAACCCUGAGAAAUCUCAGAUAUUCCUCAGUGCAGAUGGUGAUGUUAGUAUCCCUCAACUAAGCGAAGGUGAGACUGACUAUGAUAGUGAAUGAUUCCGGGGAAUUGGAUAGAGUAACCUAUUCAGAAUAAUGAUGAGUAUCCCCGGGGGCAUGUCCUACUUUGUGAAGUAAGGUUCAAAGAAAGGGAGAGAAGAGAUAGAUGGAUUUGAACCUGGAAUCAAAGGGAUCUGCGAAAGGGAUUUUGAACAAUCUUACGUCCUUGAGAAAAGUAAAAAGAUAGGAAAGGGAAGUAAUGUCAAACCUGAAAAAGAAUAUGGCACAAGAGAUUGAAUAUAGGGAGGAAUGAAUCGAGCAUCAAGUAAACUAAGGCAUCAAGGAAAGUAAGACUUGAGGAUGGAAGGGAGGAAGGAACCAAUAAGCCACCGUCAGUGUACCAGUCAUUGGGACAGGUGCCGUGUGUUCGGUCUACCUGCCUUUAGUACGACCCAGAUGAAAAGAUGCUGGCUUUUCUUAAAGGUUAGGCCAAAUGAUUCUAAGCUUGAGGACCCAUUCUAUCCGGGCCUAAAUGCUGGAGUUUCAGAAUUCACUCUACUUCUUACUAACUUUUGCCGAAUAUAUCCUAUGUGCUUAACACAUUGACGUCGGCGGCUAAGCUUUCUUUUUAAUGGUAAGCCGGGGAUCUAAUAGUCCACUUCACUCUAUCAAACUUGACCUCGAUAUAGGUUGCUUUUUGAUGACUAGUUAAUAGAAUAAGACGGUAUCUAUUAUUUUCUACCUCCUCUACCUAGAUCUCCUUUUCCUAAGGAGGGAGAGAAGAAGGUUCUCCGGGACGGAAGACAUCUCUCACUCGUACAUAUAUGGAUGGGUUUUCUACCGCAGAAAGGGAUGAAACUGAGCAGCAGAGAUUGCUAAAAUAGCAAAGGGGAUCCAGAUUAUUUCAAAACUCCAACUGAAUGAUGCUAUACUCGAAUCUAAUUCUGCUGCAGCUUGACAAGGACCUAUGAAAAUGCUGAUAUCUCGAAUCCCUAUCUUAUUAAAAUGGGGUAGCUUUACUGAAGUACUGCAAGAAAAGUAUGGAAAAAAGCAUAGUUGGUACUUCUUAAUGCGGUACAUAAGCUGGUUAUCCUGACUAACAAUCAUGCCUUGCUUGGAUUUAGGGAUUAGGAAUUCUUAUUGGGAAAGUGAUUGGAUUGGCAUUCAAGUAGGAGUAGAUCCUAUUGGUCCAAAGUAGGCAUUCUUGUAUCAAUUAAAGUAGCUAUCUUCAUGAAAUAAGCACUAAGAUUCUAGUUCAAAGAUAGGAGCAUUAAGCUCUAAAUCCAGUAAGUCCAGCUAGAAGUUUCACUAACUACAUAGGGAACUAUGGACCAGACCAGAGUUAUGACUGGUGUAUUUCAUUCCUACCGUAAUUGAGAUUUGUCCUCGGAAGCGGGUGAUUCCUUAUAGCUUGAUCCAUGUGAUGGCUGUUCUCUGCAAUGAACCACAACAUGUCCAUGGACUUCACAGAGAAUUGAGUGAAUGCACUAAAAACCAAGAAAUGACAUAGCGAGAACUGAGCAGCUCAAAAAGCUUGGACUUCGUAUACAGAAAGUAGAACUAAAAGCAGAUGAGUAGAUAUUGAAUCGAGCAUAGAAAUAAGAGAGUUUUGCUUAGCACUGUUCGGUUCGUCUUUCUUUACAAGUCAAUCUAUGCAUAAUUCUAUUUCUUGCAGCACUGAAUCCGCUUUUGAAAUACAGAUCAGGGGGCAGUAUUCUUAUUCCUUGGCUCGCCACUUAUGAAACAAAACUAGAUAUUUCUUAUUAUUUUCUUAGGAGUUGAGCUCCGCAUGCGGUUCGAUUGAGAGGCGACAAAACCUUAUCCAUUAGUCUUGGCAAUGCCAGGGAUGGAGGGAGUCAUCAGUCGCACAAGCUUAUUGCUAAAGCCAAGAUAGGACAUAAUAGCUUCUAAGUAAUGCCAUUGUACCCGCUUUCAUCAUGCCCAACUCAAAAACCAUUUAUCCCAUACUUCUUCUUUUCUUGUUCCUUCGUAUGAAUAACAGGAAUCCCAGUUUGGAUGGUUGACCAACAUUAUGAUUGUGUAUGAACUAGGGAUUUGGCUCAACACCUGCUGUCUUUCUUGCCCAUCCUUUUGUGGUAUCGAAGCUGUUCAUUGAGAUCCAUAGGUUCACGUUACAACCCACCAAUAGUCGAUUCCAGAGCGGAAGGCGAAAAAGAUAGGACGGGGACCCUUCGGAAGAAGGUAUAUGCCCGUAGUAUCUAGAAAAUAUUCAUGGUUGCAAGAGCGAGGUUAGUCAUCCUCACCAUCACCAUCAAAUACCGGUACUCGCUUUUUCUACAAGCUUGAUUUACGAACUCAAACUUUCGCAGGAAGGUAGUUCCGUAUACCAUCAACGGAGUCAAACCGCUAGAGGGUCACAUAUAUCUAAAUACUAGUUCCGAUCAUACCAGUACUUACUUCUGUGGAGAUACGAGAAAGGGGGAGAAGAUGUGAUUAUGUAUCAUAAAUACUAAGGCCAGGCAGACUAAAAGGGGCUUUUGGAUACGAAGAAGGUUUUCACGUCUUGCUUUGGGUGGUAUGCUUCCUCACUGUUGUUAUUCUGCCCUUUCCCGAUAGUCAACCACCAACGAACGCAAGGAGAUCUGGACCUGCAUGUAAUGUUUUUUUUGCCAAUACUCUAAAGCAGCUUCCUUACAUCAACAUGGGAUUGCAAAAGGGAGGGACUUGAAAAAGGCGACUCCUCCUUAGUAGGAAUAGUAGCUGAGGCUGCUUCAACUCAUAACGAAGCUAUUCCAGCACAUAAGUCCGGGAUGAUCUGAGGUCGCUAGUCUCACAUGGAAGAGAUACGAGCCUCCGCUGGAUAAACACCAGAACUUGUAUCGGCUUCUUUUGUUCGUAACGAACAAGCAAUGGAUUGGGGAUUGCCAAUAGAAAAAGAUACAACCAACCAGCAGCUUUUGGAAACCAGGAUCACCCCCAUUGUAAAGAGAACACGGCACCCCUUUCCGUAGGGGCUCGCAAAGGUAUUAUACUGGAUGUGCGUAGAGAGCUAAUGAAACUCCAUUCCUUUUCUCUAUACUCAAGGAUCUGCUAUAGCUUGCUUUUCCAAGAGUAUUGUAUUGACCUGAUUCCCCAGGAAAGAGUUGAUGGCAUCUCAACGCAAGAAGGUAGAGAAGAAUCCCUAGCAAAGAUGUGCCGAGAGCGAGAAAGCCUGUCUUCCCCGAGAUUAUUUAUUCCUCUUAUUUCUUAUAUGAAUAACUGAAAUCCAUCCUCACUUGUAUUAACUUCAUGAGUAAAGAGAUAGAGAAACCCUCAAUACCGGCACUGCUCCUAUCAAAAUCAAACAAUUGGAUUUGUUUCCCCACUUCCUCCACGGGAUUCGUACAUCGGAUGAGGAUUCCUACAAUGGUACAACGGAUCAAUCCAUUCAAAUCAAUGAAACCAUUAGGUACGCCUCGGGAUCUACUCUAUGUUUAGAUUUGCUAAUGCCGAGAUCCGAUGCGAAAGCAAAGCGAAGGUUGUUAUUCAAUAGUAGUUGCCGAUAAAGGAACAGCAGAACGGGUAUCUUUAGCAAAGCAAUUUGGAUUGGUUGAAUCGUAUUGAGUUCCGGUCUUCUAUAUUGUCUUUCAACCCUUGCUCUUGCCUUGGCUUCGCCUUCCACAUUCAGCUAAGCACCUAACCCGUGGGACGGGACCUUCGGUCUAGCCUUUGUUCGGGUAUGGGACCGACCUGGGAUUCUUCCAUCCGAGUGAGUACCGCCCUUCUGAUUUGGUUUCAGUACGGGACCGACCUUCUCUUUUGUUUGUAAUUGGGCUUGCUCGAAACAAAGGAACUUUGGUGUGAGAACCCACCCGAGUUGGUAACCCAACAUUUUCACCUAUGAUUUCUCCCUCGUCUUCUUUGCCUAGCCUUUAGCUUCUUUCUUGUCUGAUCUUAGAUUUCACUGUUAGGAAAUAGGGCAUUACCUGUCACUCUGCCUUUCUAAGAAGGCCUUUCGCUUAGUUGUCCUUUCUACUAGAACUUCCCUUUAGCAGUUCUAGAACAUCUAUAGUAUGCUUGAAUGUCGGCAAUUUUUCUAUAUUCUCUUCCUCCUCGUCCAUUAGUCCAGUUCCUUUCCUUAGUGAAAUCUGCCCCCCUCCAUCUUCCGAGAACAACAAGAGGGCAUUCUCAAGCAGGCGUAUUCUUCUUCACUUCCUAAGAAGGCAUUUUCUUGCUAACAAGCCAUUCUGGCAAACAAAAGAGCUACUUCUACCAAAGAGGAGCAAAGGCUAAGCGGAACUCCUCCCUUCGUGUCUUCUUCCUUUCCAAGCUUGUUGCGGGGAAUCUGGGCUCUUUUUCAGCCCCUAAGGACUGCUACUUUGAUGAAUGAGGACUGACGGUCUUAAUUCCUAAUGCUACUCCUACUGAUAUUGCUAUUGUUACUGCUUUUGGGAAUUGGCAUCUUUCUUCAUAGGGGCCUAGCCAAGGAAAUCUUUCCCAUUAAAUGAAUGUGCUUGCGUACUCUUCGAUUCCCGCGAGAAGUGUGGGACUAAUUGAAUUUCAUUCUUGUCUGCUAAGAGAGUUAUUCUUCCUUACAGCUUGCAUUCGAUGCAUCCACCGUACUAAGAGCUCCUUCUUGAAGAACCGAUUCUGUAACAACCCCAAAGGCAAUCUAUCUAAAUAAACCUAAAUAAAACUCCCAUUAUGAUUUGAGAUUGCCUUGCCGUUGCGCCCCUUGCCUUUCUAACUGGAUUUCCAGUUGAUGGGGAAGGGUUGGAAAAGAAGCUUGUGUCGGAAGGGAAGUGGAAAACUAAGCUGUUCGGGCUUAACUUAAACCUGAUUGCCCUAGUAGGAGUCAGAAUAAGGUUGAGGCUUGAAGACAAGCAACUGACAUCUCGGAUCUUGCCAUUGCCAGGAGCAUGGAAGCCCAUAAUGCCCUCAGUCUAUGUCUGUCUAUAUAGGCUUUAAGGAAAAAGGCAAGUAAGCCGUAAGCCAUAAAUCAAGGCUUUUAAGGACCUUCGACAGCUUAUAAAUAAUUUAAUAACAGAUCUUUUGCGUCUUUCGAGAUGCGAAGAGAAGUAAGAAGGUUUACUAUUGGGAUAACGAAGAUAUGACCAUAUUUCAGAUCGAUUUUCAACAGACGAGAUUGGAUAGUAGAACAGAGAGAAGGAUUUGCUGCUUUCUUAAAAUGAUAGAGAGUUAGGAAAGGGUCUAUGUUAAUAGAGCUCUUUAGAUAGGGAGAGGAAAGACGUAACUAGACCGCGAAAAGAAUAGAAUCUUUUACCGCUACAUCCGCUGGAGAAGAAAACUCAGCAAAGGAGAUUCCUAUCCUUUCUCUAGUUGAAGACUAAUUUGGAUAUUCCCGAAGAUGCUUGACUUCGAGUUCUUGGAGUGACAGCUUUCUUUGUAAACAAGGGUCCCUUACUCUAUUACUUUUCCACUUCAUUGAUCUGAAAGAAGUGACAGAAGAAAGCUACGUGCAUAUACCCCUGCCCCGGGGGAAUAGGUGCCACCUCAACAGCUAUAUUCUAAAUUGUUAAGCCUCACAACCCUUUCCUUUGUGUCGGACCUUUCCCGCUUUCCUUCCUCACUCAAACUUCAAAAAGUCCUUCCAUGAAUCUAGGGAAGGAAAACCACCUCUGACUUCACCAAGUCUCCCUUUCUUUGGUCGAAGGCUUCAGGUCAAGAUCCUUUUUCCUAUCUAUUGAAGAUGCAAAGAGAGAUGCUUCUUCCUCUUCAAGUUGGAAGUGCAAGAAGAAAUGUGGUAAAUAGGAGUUCCAUCUACCACGCACUCGCUCCACACUCCAGCUAACUUCAGCAUCCAUACUCAGCUAGGAGGAAGGUGCCGGGGACACUAUGAACACACAUGUACUUGGUUGACUUCACGUCCCGUCUCACAACCGGGUAAGAUCAAAUAAACAAACAGCUUGCUUGCCCAAUCCCUAUUGAGAGGAUUUCUUGAGCUUGAACUUCCUUUUGUAGCUCCGCUCACAAGGACUUCUUUUCAUCCGCAAUGAAGCUUAUACCACCACUUUGUCAGUAAGGCCUGAUUCAAAAAAAGAUCAAUCACCCCCUUCCCUACUUCAAUGGAAAAGGGGGAAUCGCCCUUUCACAGCCGCCCCUCCACAAAAUUUAUACCUAUCCUUUCGCCUAAGAUGAUCACGAACAAAGACAGAGAAUUGCGUAGAUAGGAGGAGGAAACGAACCAACCCGAAAAAACAAACAAAAGGGAAUGAGAGAAAUGAUCGGAACGAUUGAGGAAAGAAAGAGAAUGGCGGCCCCUUUCCUUUCGCCCAGGGGGCAUCGUCGUCAGGGAUAGGCUUCGAGGGUUCUUCCAUAUCUAGAUAUAGAGAUAGAUGAUGAUAGAGAUCUAGAUCUUUCUAUAGAUAGAUCCUUUGAGAAAUUUCUAUUGAUCCGCUUUCAAGAUCUAUGAACAAGAGAGAUCCACAAAAUCUCCAUGUAAAAAAAGAGAUGAAUAGAUAGGGCUGAGCCGAUAGAAGGACUGGGUACGAUGAUGGGGCGAGAGAGGGAAAAAAACCUUCGGGAUGGAUCGGGAAAAGUGACCUCCGGCUCAGCCCACGACUUCCUUCCCUUCGCAUAGCUCAGGUGACUCCCUUCCCCCUUUUUUCCCAGAAUGAAUUAGCCCGACACGACGAAUCCUACCCUCCUGUCUUUCUUUCUCAUUGAAUGAAACACUGCCUGGGACGCCCCUAUGCCUAUGAAUUCAAUGAUUUAAGGGCCCCGGGAGGAAAUUUCGGAAAGAAAGCCUACUGGUUGGUCUGGUUGUCCCUCGGCGGUGCCCGGGCGGGCCUCGGUUCAAUCUUGCCGAUUCUACCUAGACAUGGCUCAAAAUGAAGGGGUUGGGCCAAGUGUUCUUAAAACAAAACUCGAAGUGCACACUUUGGAGCACGGUAUUCCGUUAGGUCCUUUACGGACAACGAAAGCCCCUUUAUACUCUACUCUUCGCCUCCUGUUGUUCUGUUCUUUUCUUUUGGAUCGGCGGAGCUGAGCUGUGUUCCAUUACACUCUGUAGGAAAUGCAUAGACAGUCCAUGCAGCAAACAGAGGCCCUCCGUGCGCUGUACGUACCGCCUACGAAUAAUAGGUAGCCCCACCCCAGGCAGAGUUUGUGAGUCGUGUAAUAGGCGACCAUUUCGCGCGGUUCGGGGGCACUUGAAUAAGCCGCUGGCACCCGGCUGCGUCUUUACCCCUAUCCAAUUUUUGGGCCAAUUCCACCUUCAUACUACCAAAAAAUGAGAUUCUUGCCGAAUCCGAGUUUGCUGCCCCAACCAUUACAGAACUAAUACCUAUUCUGUUUAGUACUUCAGGUGCUUCUCUAGCGUAUAAUGUAAAUCUCGUAGCAGAUCAAUUCCAACGAGCCUUUCAAACUAGUACUUUUUGUAACCGACUCUAUAGCUUCUUCAAUAAACGUUGGUUCUUCGAUCAAGUUUUGAAUGACUUUCUAGUCAGAUCGUUCAUGCGUUUCGGAUAUUCAGUCUCAUUCAAAGCUUUAGACAAGGGUGCUAUUGAGAUAUUGGGCCCUUAUGGUAUCUCGUACACAUUCCGACGAUUGGCCAAGCUAAUAAGUCAUCUUCAAAGUGGAUCUGUUGGGAAAGAGUGCUUUAUGAACCAUGGCUGCCUACCUGCUUUGGUUGGUGGGGGCGGCUCCUCCGUUGUGGGUAAACGGGAAACCCGACUCUACGAACCCGAGGAAAGGCUGCACAGCUUCUGUAGGGGCGUUAAGACCGGAGCUUUUUGUAGUGCUAGCAGGAAUGCAAGUGAAUGAAUCCAAUCCCAUCCCCUUUAAAAUCGGCGAGGUAAUACCUUAUUGAAGUAGGGCAUGCUACGGCAACACAGGACUGACGGGGUGGGGGCUUGCUGUCUACUUGGCGAGCCUUCACUGCCCCCUUCUGUAACUUCCCUUUUUACGUCCGUCCACGAGGCAGUCAAAAGAAAGAGAGAAAGGGGCGGCUACAACGCAGGAGUCGUGGCGGUUGUAUGCCACAAGGUCCCUAUAGACAAGGGGACAAGUGAAUCAUCGCUUUUGGGUGCAGGCAGCCCUCUACCAUCCAUCCCAUUGCAUUCCUCUCGUAGAGUAUUGUACCGUCUCAGACCAGAUACAUCUAUGGAAAGAAAGGAUUUCAUAGAAAAUCUGCAUUUUUCUAUUUUUUUAUCCCCAUGCAUUCCGUUAUUCCCGUAACUAUGGAUUGAUUGUCCCUACCUAACUAAAUGGUAGUGGUCUAGGGAGCGCAAUUGCUAGAGCACGGGAGAAUGAAGAGCAAUGAUUUAAGCAAGAGCAGCCGGAUGGACUACUAUAGUCAGUCUAGUGACUACUAUAGUCUUUUCUUUCUUUGUAGUUAAGUAAUAAUGUUUGGUAUAGCAGCCUUUCUGAGCGAGUCUCUGGGAUCUCCUGUAAACCCCCAUGAUGUUGUAAAGGGAGGAUAUUAGGGGAAGCAGUGAUUGGAGAUUCCCCUGCAGAGAGCCGGAUGAGGGGAGACCCUCACGUCCGGUUCGGACGGCGGGGAUAUCCCGACCCUACUAUCAUUAUCCCUUUGAAUGUUACCUGGUUCAACUCCAUUUCUGACCUUUUCUCAUAUGUGGGACUCUCUAUCUUCUUGGGUAGAUUCUAGAUCAUCUUUCAUUUUGUUAGUGAGUAGUUUUCUUAUUAAUAAGUCAAGUCAAGAGUAAUAAGAGAACUGUAGGAGCUUGCCAGGACGGCUUGGUAAGCAAGCUACCUGUUAUGUAGCCGCCAACUCCCAGUUCUUUCUCUUCUUUCUUUUUGAUUUUUUAUUCUCGUCUUUUUACUAAACGUAUAAUCUCCUUUCCGGGGAAGGGGUAACAUAGACGGAGGCACAUGUAGACAGAUACAGACUUUUUCAAUCUUUUGCCUAAGCGAAGUAGUUGAUCCCUCCGAGGUAAGGGCGAAUCGAGACUGAAAGCUACUAAUAAAAUAGCAUAAUCUGAACACAUAGCUGAACACAUAGUUUAAGUAGAAACUGUUAAAGCUCCUUGGUCUCAAAACGGCCGGCUUUGGUUCAGCUCUCGGGGCCACCUUACACACUAAUAAAAUCGUCAGCUUCCUUCCCCACUCAUCUCCCUCACUUUAAGACAAAAAAUCCAAUUCGAUUCAAAGAACGGAGUCAUACCUCCAGCGGGCAAGGUCGGCUCAAGAAAUGGAAGUUGUGAGAUGGAAAGAAAACCACGAAAAAAGAACUGAAUUAGGGAUCAAUCCAUACACGGCUUGGCUUCUCCCCUUCCCCAUAGUAAGCCAGCCAAUAGAAUAGUACCCUAAGUUAAGAAGUUCUCUUAGCUAGCGCAUGUCCAUUAAUGUGACCACCGCAUGCUCCUGCAUGAGUUUCAUGAAUGGUUUGUUUUCGAAUCCUAUCUCUCUGGGGAAAGGUAUCUUUUUUCAAUUCGAACAACGGUAUCCCUACCUGGCAAACUAUCCUCGUUUUCGAAGUCCCUAGUUUUGUCCUCUACUGUAGUAUUCUGGUUAGUAGACGGCUUCCUUCAUCAGAAAUCUAGCCAGUGCUUUCCAUUAGGUGUGCAACGAAGGAUAGCCUUGCUUUUCUUCUGAUUCUGAUUCAGUCCAAAGAUAGAGACAAAAGAAAAGUAAUUAUUGAAUCAGACUUGGCUUCUUUUUUGGCAUGGGCAAAGGUUUGGCAAUUCCACCAUUAGCAAAGGUUUAAUUGGUUGAUGGUACCCUUGGCGAAAGGCACCUGGUGAGAGUAGCUGCUGCUGCUGUGCUACCUCCAACUAUGAAGUUCAGCACAUGAACAAUACACAGUACUUUGUUUCCAAAAACAAUACAGAGAACAAGACCACAAUAAAACAAUUUAAAAGAACUACUUUUAGGCAGCAGCAUCUGGACAACAGGCUUAAAAGCUUCCAGAAAAAUGAUAGCACAGACAGCCGAAACAAUUUUCCUAAUAUUUCUUUAACUUGACCUUUUUGCAGUACAUCUAACAGCAUAUAGGGGAAUGCCUUUUUUAUAUUACAUUUGCACCAAACCAAGCUAUUCUUAAUACUAAUUCCUGUGCAUAGAUACUUUCCAAAGUGCUGAGAAUAGCAACAGAGAGAAAAUGCUGCAGAAGAUAUCACAAUUGAAUUACUAACCUGGUACUUGUUCAUAGAUUUUCUAGCAUCUUCAAUAAGCUUUGAUUCUUACUCAAGUAGUUUGGUUUGUAGUGUAGUUUUUUUUUCUUGACUCUAGUAGUGUCGUUAGCAUGCCUUCCGUUCCGUGCUUGUUUAUGCACUUUUGAAUUAAAGACGACCUUUCAAUUCAUUAUUGACUGGAUAAAGUAGUAUUAGUUAAUAUACACUGAUUCAGACAAAUCAAAAAUAAGAGACAGUCUUUUUCGAUAUUGUAUGCUGGGACAGACCUGUAGGUGAGCACAAGCACAGCCAGCCUUCCACCUCUUUAUACUUAUGCUUAGCGGUGUACCUGGUCUUACUUAUUUUUUAGUUUACGCUUAUGUCCCAAGCUUGCAAGUCCUAAGAAGAGUAUUGUAUUGACCUGAUUCAAGUUUUUUGCCUACCCGCCGUUAUGUCUUAGCUAGGAAUGAGCUGUGAACAAAAUAGAAAUAGUUGUUACUUGAGUCGAUAAUGACUUUGUGUUGGUUUGCUAUUUUCUAUAAAUUGGACUGGUACCAUGUAUUGUAACAUAAGCUUUUGUAUAAGAGCUGAGAUGUAGUUAAGAUUACACUGGAUCCUCUCUCUGUUUUGUUGCUUCCUUCCAUUAUCUACAACAACUAGUAUCAACACUAGGAACCUUCACGGUCAGGGUUGAUUUUCUUAGACCACUAUGAACACUUGUAAUUGGUUCUUUCUACUUCAGGCAUGGUUCUCUCUAGUUAGUGGAAGAGUGUACAACAUAGGGAUUGGUAUCAGUCACACAUUUAGGAAAGAAAGUGAAAGGGGAGGGCAAGAGCGGUUCGAAGGUCAAUGAAAUGAUAAAAAACCACCAGGUCGAGUUUGCUUCUCCCUUCCUUUUGGUGUUUAGGAUGUGAAGUUUAUAUAAGAAGAGAGGAAAGGGGAACUACACUAAAUGGAUAAUUUUAUCCUGGUGAUGGGCUAUUCCAAUGGGCAUGCAUCUGAGAUAUGGGCUUUGAGCGUAGGAACGCCCACCUUUACAAGAGCUCAGUUCUAAGAUUGUUUGCGCGUAGGCACCACUACCAUUCUGUCUUUUCUUGUUAUGCAUCCGGUCCUAGAAAUCUUUUUUUUUCUGACCAGAGGAAGAGAAAUAAAAACGUCACUUCACUCGCCUUGGGGGACCUAAUUAGGAGCUGAUUGAUUUUUUAAUAGAUAUGAAGAUGCCUUGAAUGAACCCAAGCAAGCCGAAAUAGAAUACUAUAAGUAUGAAGUGGACAUCUAUGGUUUAAUUGGAAACAUCUCUUUUCUAUUUAGAUUUUGCAAGUGCCUCCCUUUGUGGCAGAGCGAGCGCCUUGACUAAGAUAGAUUGACUCUUUCAUUCUUUUUUUUAUUUUAUUCUGGUUCCAAUCGUUUGAGGAAAACCCCCUUUGGCAUCAAUGAAACUCCGUUAUAUAGGAGUUCAAAAACCUCAUUUCGUUUGAGAGAUAGUGGAAUUUCUUCUUUCAACACGUACAUCGACGAGGGUGUCGAUGACUUGACUGAGGAAUGGUCAUGUGCUAGAGGCCGUACCUUUGGAGUAAGACCUCAACAAGGGGGUGUGCAGUUUAAAUGUAAAUGAUGAGCAUGGAGAGGCCAAGGUCAUUUGUAAUUAGGUGUGGCUGAUGCAAGAAGACUGGCGAGCUGUCCAUGGUGAGAAAAGUUGUGAUGCUACUGCAGGGGGCAUCCUGGUGUAGUUGAGGGCACAGAACUUCUGUGCGGGUACAACUGGCACUUAAAAGACCUUCCGUGUAGAUGAGUUCUCUUGAGUGAGACUAAUCGAGUUACGAAGAAACCUUUGCGAUGGUGCUGUGCAGUUGGGUUCUCUAUGGAGGAACUUCGUUGUGGGGACCAAGGGGUCUUCUUAAGAAGAGUUGCUUUGAUGAAAAGAGUGUAGCCAUGAUGGCAAGUCAAGGUGGGGCCCUGUGAAGGCAAGCCUUGUGUAUGUUGGCGUGAUGACGAGAGAAAGGAAAUGCCCAGGAACAAUAGUUGUCCGUAGCACACCCUGCAAUGACAUCGACCAGCGGACCAGCCUAUCCAAUACCCGACGCCAUGACCUUAGAAGUUCGUACCCCAUGAUAUUCAAUGACACCCGUAGACAUUUGAUCAUUCAUACCUCACAGUACGCUUUCUUUCUUUUUUUGGACUUUGAAUUCCAAGCGAAGGAAGCUCAGUGAAUGAUAAACUGGGAUUUGAUAGCAAGAAGAAAGCAAUCAUAGUACGCGGCACACACCACUGACGAAUGGGAUUGACGUCCCAAACCAACACAGGUUCAAGACUAAGUGCAGAACCAAGAAUGUCGUGGAUAGAAAAGUGAGUGCUUCCUCAAGCUUCAUGAAGGAAGGGUCCAAGGAUCUAAGCGACAACCUCUACGAAAAAGAAAAACCUAUAUAUAGAUAGUGGUAUGUGUUUGCUGACACUAAAUAGACUUGGCUCGGGGCAGAACUAAGUGGCUAGGCUAAGUUCCCUAGUCUUCUAUUGGCCUACCCACCCCUACGACAUGGAGGCGCUUACCCUUCUCCAACAAGCAUUCCACCACGCGGCGAUUGAUUACCGCUUUCCGUCUCAAUCCGUUCCAGACCAAGCCCCUUCUCUGAUCGGGGGAAGCCAUUCUAAAACAUCAGAUCUCCCUUUGAUGCUGAUCAAAAAUAAGUUUAUCCACCUAGAAUAUAUGAUAGGUACCGAAAGAUUGGAUGUCAUUUCUCAACACCAGGCGGGACGAGCAGCCCUAUACCACGUGUAGCCACACUCUAGUGUCCUUUUCUACUUAGUUGGAUAGAUCACUUCAUAAAAUCGUACAAAAAUCAAGAAAGAAAAUGGAUGCGCUAACGCGCAACGGCUUUCGCUCUAGUUGCUCAAAAAACCGUAUAAAAAUCAAGCAAGAAAAAGGUUCUGGCAGGCUGCGUGGGACUGUAAAUCCUCUUUCGCUAGCUGGGCCCUUUGGACUCGAAAUCCAAACGGAGUGAGUGGUUCGAUUCCACUCUCAGAGCGAGACUGAACGAAAUAAAAUGCAAGUGAAACGAGACGAGAAUCAAAUUGUAGGCUUCUUUCCUAAAAGCGGUGGUUCUCGCCUCCCCGUGCCCAAAGCGGGGUGGGCGACAAUGUUGUGGUUCUUUUCUUUAUCGAUCGGGUAGAUCCAUAUGUUCUGAGGGGGGACAAGGUGUAGUGCAGUCUGAUCAGCGCAUCUGUCUAGGGUACAGAGGGCCAUAGGUUCGAAUCCUGUCACCUUGAUGUGGUAUUCACACAAUGGGGCCGAAGUGCAAAGCCCAGCAACCUAUCCGUGGUUGGGCAGGCAGGGGUAUUAAAAGUGAAACUUGGCUUGCGUGUGCGCGCACACAAAGGAAACUGAGUUGGAUUGCAAAGCCUCUCAGACGGAAGGAACCCUUUUUAAAAACCCCUUUCUACAAUCUUGAGAAAUAUCACGCAAGCAACUACACGCUGCAAGUCUUCGGUAUUGUUCGCAAGGAAUUUGAAAAGAUUGACUCCACUUUUUUUCUUUUCGAGCAUGCCAAGCCUCCAGUAGAGUGGAGUUCUGUGCAUGAAGUAGGCGGAGUUUACAAACUAGUGAAUGGUUAAAUGAAUAGGCUCAUUUCAUCAGGGGUAACCAAGAGUAAGAAUGAUUUGAUAAAGUAAACAUUCCCUUUGAGUGCGGUUCCUUCAGAACAAGCUCUUCCCUUUUCAGAUUGCUUCUUUGGGCCACUUGAGCAUCGACUGGGCAAGGUUGGAUUCCCUCUACUUCGGGUGGCUAGUAUUUCUCAACAAUGUUUUUUCAUUUGAUCCAAUAGCCCUCCGUUAGAUAGGAAUAACUUUGCUAAAUACUGAGAACUCUCGAAUAGAAUAUGAGAAGGGAAAGAUCCUUUACAUAAGGAACUAUUGAUCAUAGGCGUACACUCUGAAAAGAAUUGAAUGAAACUCUCUUGUUUCGUCAACUUUGAUAUCAUUAGCUGUCUCUGUAGCUGGCUCUCAUGUCUGGCAUUCCAAGUAAAAACUUUUCAACUAGCUGGGUCACCGCUGUUUUAAACCCUGACUUGGAAUCAGAGCCAUAAACGAGUGAUUCGGUCGGACGGGCGAUUGAGUUCUUAAAGCUUGGAUCGGCACUUCUUGUGUUGAAACAAACACGCUGUUGCUAGCGCCCUCAACACUAUCUUCGAUCCUUCGCAAACAUAGCUCCUUCUACGGGAGAUAACUUUCGAUCACUUUCAUCUCAAUUCAUUUCAUUGGCUGGUCGAGUGGAUGAUUAGACACAGGCGGAGUAUUCAAGUUGUCCCUACUAACUAACGGGUCUAAUUAUCGCUGGGUCACAGGCUCCUUCGAAGCAAACAUUCGCAGCGCCCCUCGCAUUCAAGCUCUUCCUUUAUCCUGCGGCCUGCCCUCAAGCAAAAGCAAGAUCUAGACAAGAGUGAAAAGCAGUCAGAAUAUUAAUAAUCUAAAAAGGCCUUCCUUGGUUGUGUAGCUAAUCCCCCUCCUUGACAAGAACAUAAUUUUUGCAUCUUCAAACUGGUUAUGGGUGAUACCCUCAUUCCCCAUUAACUCACUAGAAAGCCCUUUGAAUAAGCCUCAGGAACACCCAUUCCUUUCGGAUCAGGGGGUGGUUGUUUUAACUACUCGUUCGGGGAACAUUAGACAAAGUUACUUAUUUGAGAAAGUAAAUGAACCUGAAAUAGGACCUAUGUGAUAGUUUGCAGCAUGAGCAUGUAGAUGCUGGUGAUGGUAUCAGAUCUGAGGACCAAGAAUUUCAAAAGGAUAGUAUUAGACUCAAUAAGAAGCUUUCAAAACAUAACUUCUCAUAUUUGGUCUGUGGGCUACCACGCUUAAGCUUUCUUAUCUUACUCUUUCCACAAACGUUAGGACUUAGGCGAGCUGCUGAAUAUGAGACAAUUCUUUCUCGACCGUGCGUGGUCUUCCCUCGGGGAUGGGAGAAUAUAGAAGGUGGGUGGGUGGAUCUCUAUUCUCCAUAAGGAUAGGGUUGAUUUGAUUGGCAUUCACGCCUUUUAGAAAGAGCCACUCAAUGCAAUUCUCUUUUAGGCGAAGAGAGUAUGCCCAACUGGAGUGGUUUCCGCCUAUAUACCUACUAAUGUAAUCUCCAAGAUGGACAAAUCUUCUUAUCUGCGGAUCUAUUCCAUGCCGGAAUUCGACCUGCUAUUCAUGUGGGUAUUUCACUUUCCAGAGUAGGAUCAGCGGCUCAAAUGUGCCGCAAUGAAACAAGUAGCUGGCAAAUCCAAAUUGGAACUAGCUCAAUUCACAUAGUGACAAGCCUAUUAUUCGCCUCUGCUCUCGAUAAAACUAGCCAGAAUCCAUUGUUUUUAUGACGGGAAUUGCUUAAACAAUCCCAAUCAAACAUUCUCCAGUGGAAGAACAGAUAGCUACUAUAGCUACCGUAACGAUGGGAUAUCUUGAUUCGUUCGAAAUUGGACAGGUCAAGCUAUUUCUGGACUGGAUGAGUUACGUAAACACCUCAAAGAUACUCAUUCCAAGAAAUUCGAUCUUCUAGCCAGCUUCUAGCCAGGUGGAUAAGGAUGGAAUCUGGUAUCCAAGAAGAGGAUGUUGGACAUUCUUCAUCCCGGAGGGCCGGGGAGAGGAGAGAUAGCAUCACUCUGACUUUGCUAGAAGGAGGAAAAUGCAGAGUUGGCUUUGGGAGAAGAGAAGGAAGCUCUCAGGUUUAGUGAUUCAUACCUGUCCUGUCUCUUGUUUCCAGGGUUUCAAUUUCCGGUCCAGAGCUAGUCUACUUAUUUAUUUUAUACGGAAACGGAAUUUUGCAUAUUAUACGGAAUUUGCCAUACCAGGUUUUCCUAGAGUUGAGGAAUUCUAUCCAUUCCAGGAAAAGCACUGGUUUGAGAAACUACACUACAGGGAAGUACUAAGGAAUAGGAAGCUGCUACUUAUACUUCUUAUUCUUGUCCAAAGAUGCCAGGCCGAGACAGAAACCCAACUAGUGAAAUAGAACGGAUCUCUCUAAUAAACUGGGGUUCUUCUCUUCGGGUUGCUGGUAUCCUUAUAUGGAUCUGUCUUGUCUCCUCAGCUUGAUAAGCUAGCAAAGUCAGUUUGUUGGAUUGGUCUGUCCGGUCUGCCAGUCAGGAAAGCACGUCAAGUCGGUUAAUAGCUCUAGUCUGGUAUCUAACUCGGUGAAUUGGUAUGGUCUGGAGGCCCGGCAAUAACAAUAGCAAACAGGUCAGUUGUUCAAGUCCGUCUGGUUGAUAGGUCAGCUCGGUAUAGAAUCUUGUCUGGUUUCUGAAGUCGGUAAAGUCCAAUCAGUAGAGUGCCAGUUAAGUUCCUCAAGUAAGGAUCUUUGAUUCCUCCAAUUCGGUAGGUAAUCAUAAUAGUCUCAGCUCGGAAUGUGAAGAUGCUGCUAAUCUGUUAAAGGGAUCUAGAUCGCAUUUAUUUGAUAUGCGGCCCUUCUUCAACCCCGGAUGUGUACCUGACGCCAGGGAAUAACGUAGUUCUAAAGUAGUGACUCAUGUCUUGGAGGUCGUCCAUCCAAAUGUUCCUCUUUGCCAUUGGCCGCGUCUACUCCUAUAACCGAAUCGAUGGCCUAUAGCGCCAUGCCAUAAUGAAAUUCUUGAUCAUUUCUUUGUUCGUAACAUGGCGUAGUGUAUCACUGGGUGCCACAAUCCCAUUCAAUUCUUGUCCAUUCAAUACCAUGGAUAUAUCGAUUUCUAUUUUCAGAAAGCUCCUAUUUCGAUUGAUAUCUCUAGCAAAUAUAUGCAUAGCGUAUGUCAAGAUAAAGUAAAUCAAUCCGUAUGACGGCAGGGAGCGGAGGCAGCUUCAACUCAAGUGAGGAGCAAGCUUACCUUGGGCGGGUAGAUUGAUCGGCUCCUUCAUAUCUCGGGAUUUCGCUUAGGCCACCCAGGCCAUACCAUAGAAAAAAGAUGUGGUUUCCUUUCCCUCAUCAACCUGCCGUUCUUUUAUUUCACGAAAGAAUCUUUCCGUCCGUAUUGAGCAACUCAAAUUCCUAGAAAGCCGUUGGUGCACCCACCCAGUGAGUAACUACUAAUGCAGUGAGUAACUACUAAUGUUACGAACAAAGAAACUUUCAAAAAGUGGACCCAACAAGCAAAGCAACGGAUUGUGCUGCACUGCCUUUCGGCGUUUUAGUUAGGCGCAUCCUCUUGAGGGAUGAAAAUCUGCCAUAGCACGCUCCGUGCCUUUGAAGGAACAUUUGCUCGAUGAUGGUCCUACCCUACACGGGCUUACUAACGAUGGCCAAGCAUGCAGUCAUUCCUGUUCUAUUUGAUAGGGGAAGCAAGCUAGUCAAAGAAGAAGGAAGCAUGGGUAUAGGUAAGUCUAGACAUAUUGACACGGGCGUAUACUGAAAUAGGCAUAAGGCCGCUAACGCUAAGGAGACAACACCACUUCUUUGUUCGUAACUAGGACAUGUAUUGAUGCUAGAGGCAGACUCCUGACACUUAUCACUCCUUAGAUGAAGCAAGACAAGAGUGAGUCCGCUAAGGGACAAGUAUGACUAAAAAAAUGAUGGCAGAUUUUUAUGGAAACGGUUCUAUUUGAGUAUAUUGUCUCAUUGGGUUUGUCAUUGUCGAUAGCUAUUCUUGUCGCCGUUUGGGCUGGCCGGAUGAUCCAUCACAUAAAUGCUAUUAAUGUUGAAACACAAGUAACUAAUAUAUCCAAAGAUGUUCUUAAAGAACAAAUCAUUUAUCAAUUGGAAAUACUCUAUAAAGUCUAUAAUGAUACUACUGAGGGUGUGCACUUACCAGCAGGAGUCAAUCUCCAAGAAGUAAGCACACAUCUCUUUUUUGUAGACGAGAGAGUGAGCCUUCUAAACAGUAUCUACUAUGAUCUUAUUGCAAAGGGAACUGGAAGUGAAUAAUUUGGCCAAGUUAUACAAUUUCUUCUGGGAUAGCUUGUUGUGGGGCUUCCCGAAGGGUCGUUCUGAGAGUGGUCUCUUUUCUUUAAGGUUGCAUAUAUUCUCAGAGAAGGGAGGGAUCCAGGCCAGGUCUAAAAGUGCCGAGUUGGGUUUGGGACAAGAUCAGGAAAUAGUGCAUCUUAUAUAGUGGGUGCCAACUUGAUUGCUGCUGGGAUUGCUUGAUAGGAAACUUUGAUUGAUACGAGCAGAUGUGAAUGAAUUGAAAUAGUCAAUAGUGGUGAUAUGAUCCCGGUAUCUACACUCGGAUCUACUUCUGCUACCGAGACUGCAGCUACUGUAAAAGCAUCAGGAAUGUGUCAAUUCACUGAAUAAAGUGCUCUUUCCAUUGAUUUAUGGAUGAAAUCACGACAAAGAGAAGGAACCACCGAUUCUGCAUCAAGAACAGGGGUUCUGGAGCCAGUUUCUCAAAUCGUAAGUAGAUCCAAUCCAGGGCAGUUGAUAAGUGAGGUUCUCCGGUCGAAUGCAAAUAAGCCAGAGCGUAUCUCUUGUUUCGAGGAAGAAACAAACAUCCUGGUCUCAAUAGAUCUUGAUUCUAGGCAUGCCUCAGACACAUCACCAGCCGGAACAAACGAGUGCUUUCAACUCACGAGCCGGAACAAACGAGUGCUUUCAACAAUAAGCAAUACCCGAGAUUCCUUCUACCAACCAGGAUUCCGAUACCAAUUCCAAUCUGGAACAGCACAAGGAAGUAGCGCACCAGAAGAACCAAUACGAGAACCCUUCCUUCCAGCCAGAAUCCGUCUUUCUUGUCCUUUGCAUUCAAGGAAUGGGAUCUGCCUUGUGGAAACAAAAGCUAUUUGUUCGAGUCAAGCAAGCGGACAAUCAACUAAGAAUACUGGAAGAGAACUCUCUAGCCCUGCACUUAAACUAGACUAGAAAUCCGAAAAAACACUAGUUUUGGCCAUAGCAAAAUAUAGUUUUUCUUCUCCGUGGACUCCCCAUGCUUGGCGCCAUAGGCUUUAGGACUUUUGGCACUAGGGACUCAUACUUUGAUCAGAUCCGUGGACAAGCUCCCGAGGUCAAAUCGGAUUAUGGACUUUUCCAGCUAAGUGAAAAUGCACUUCACUACUAGCAAAGAAGUCAGCUCAGGGCAGGGCCGGUGGUAAUCUCAGAUAGGAACUUGCCGGGAUCCUUCCAUACCUGCCAUCCACCACUACUACUGAUCGUUUCCCAGAACGAGCCAUACCUUUUCCCAGAAUGAGAAUACGAGUGAGGACGAAUAGCGGCGCCUAGCUUUAGUUUCCACACGACACGAUGGAUCUAUCACUCUCUUUAGCCAGGCCAUUCUCUAGAGGAGACUUCCGAGAAUGAAUUCCAAUCUGGUACCAAUCGUAGAAAUCGUAUUGUAGAGUUCUUCUCACGCCUAGCACAGCUACAAGCAUUCCUCGAAUGCAGAGACAAGACGGAGGAUAUCUGAUCCCGCGGAACAUCUGCUACCAACUACGGAUUACCUUGUUUCCAUCAAAUCCAUGUUUCUGGCACCUUGGCCCCCUCUACCUACGAAAUUCGGAUUCCUAUGGUUGAAGAAAGUACAGCAUUGUCAAUUCAACCUGAAAAAAGGGGAAUAAGUUGACAAAGUCAGCUUGAAUAUUACGGUAUGGAUCAAAGGAAGCUAUACCCGCCUUGAUUUCUAUCAAACUUAUUAGAUAGUAAAGCAGACAAGUCUAAAAUGGAAUGUUUGAUCAGUAUAUGUAGGGCUCUCAAAAGUGAAUCUAUUUCAGCAUAGUUGAUUUUCAGAAGCCAACUAGAACUUUGCAGCUGCCGUAUAGUUGAUUGUUCCCACCAGUUUCGUUCUCAUCUGGUCAGUUUCACGAAUGCAAGGAUUUACUACGACUAUCAGGUGUAAACCUUGGUCGUAUACAACGGUGAACUAGCUAAAUAUAGUUAGAGGAGUAAUAUAGCUAAAUAUAGCUAUAGGGCAUUCCACAGAGGUGAAAUUCUCUCGACAAAGCAGAACAAGAAGCAGCAGAAAGCAAAACAGUAUAAGGGUCGUUCGGAGUUCCAGGCACAAAACAAUUCUAUAGAACUGGGUAUACCAAACAGUUGAUCAACAAGGCAAAUGUCCACUAAACCAGCUAAACGGCUCACGAAUUGUUUGGAAUGCAACGGAAAAUGUGAUCUCCCAGCAAUUUCUCGAGUCCAAAACCUCACCCAUCUACAUAUAUCAUCAUCUGCGGCAAGAACAUAGCAACACCAAAAUCCUACCAGCAACUGCUGCAAUACACCCUCCUCACGACAGCCAACCAUCGACGGUGUCAGACUAUGAUUCCGUUGCUGUACUACUCCUCUUUGUUCUGUUUCAUGUUUUUGGCGGUUUCAUUCUUGUGUCUGAGUCCGAAGAAGACGGUGGAUGUUGAUCCAGUAGCAAAAUUGUGCUUCCUGUUGCGGGAUUUAUGUAUCGUGUCGUGCGUAGAUACGGACGACAUGGAAAAAAUCCAGGUUUAUGUACGACAUGCUCUUUCCUUCCUGCAUUCGGUGACGCACAGAGGUGGCAGAGUCUUGUUCCUGGAGUCGCUCACAACUUUUGGGAGCACCGAGAUCCUGAAUAAGAUGCUGCACGAAUUAGCUGAGGUGUUGGGAGCCCCCAAUAGAGAAGGACGAUGCGGAAAGGGAUGAUGGGAAAGUGACAAGACUGGACUUCGACUCGUUUAAAAAGAGUUGUAGCCGUACGGAAUUCCAAUUGGAAUGGACCCAUCUCAUGAUACAAGUUACCCUGGAUUUCUUUCUAUUCCUAUUUCGCUGGGCAAUUCUAGUUUUUGUUAUGAUGAUCUCAUGGAUAGUAGUAUUGAGUUCUAUAAACAGAAUGAUAGUAGGUUUUAAGAUAGCUUAGCCCUUGCUAUGAUUCAAUUUGUAUUGGAGAAGAGGGGCGCCAACCCUAUGGGGAAUGUAGCUAUGAUGUACUUCUUCCUACUAGCUACGGUGCAGCACCUGUUCCUAGCUACGAUGCUACUCCUGUCCGGCCCUUGAUUUAUCACCACUUUGGUCUUUUAUUGGUCAUUGAUUUAUAGACGGGAGGAUAGGUUCCCUGGCUCGACCCCCCAGAUAUCGAUUUAGCAUUCCAUUAUCGGAUCUCCGAAACGGGAAACAAGAAAAGUAAUCGAAAUCGUGUGCCAGCUGGACAUAUGAAAUUCACACUUUUUGACUCUCAAUCCACAGGUGUAGAUACCAGGGGUGGGUUUUCAUGGCCUGUAGUCUCCCCUGCCAAUGAAGCACGAACUACUUGUUGAAAUCGCGGAUCCAAAUCUUGCAUUUCUCCUUUACUCGUCAAAGGCCUUGUAUUGUUAUUCCCAUGAUCAUGUGGGCUAUCCGCUCUUUAUUGUAGGGUCCUACUCCCACCUAUCCUUAAAAAAUGAUGUGAGUGGCUCAUACUAAUCAAAUGUACAAGUAACUGACCCUUAUCAAGCUUUCCACACAUAGUGUUUUUAUCUAAGAUUGCAAUUCUUCCAUGUUUCCGCAGUAGCAUAUUGUUCCAUGGAGCUAGGGUCCAAAAUAGGAAUCAACAAGUGUUUCCACGACUCUACCGCCCGGCCAAUCCUGUUCCACUGAAUCCCCUCCCUUUUUCAUGGCCACAUAUCUUUAUGGCUAAGGAGUGGGAAAUCUUUCUCCUGUUACACAAAUCAAAUGUUUCAUUUCAUCCGGGAAAAGCCACCUCUUUCUCCACAAACAAUGUCUUUGUCAUUUGAUCAUGUUUUUAUCUGUUAGAUAGGAACAGCUUUGCUAAAUACUGAGAACUCUCGGAUAGAGUAUUAGAAUGAAAAGACCAUUAAUUAUAUAAGGAAGAACCCAGGGUUCUAGCCCAUUCCCAUUCCUAAAUCAAUAAUUCGUAGUGCUUUUGCCUUUCUUGCGUACUCCUGGUGAACCAGUUGCUAGCCAUAUGUUUAGGAGGCUAUUUUCUCCUAUUAAGUAAGAUUCUUAAGCUUAAUAAGCCCAAAGAUCGAAAAGUAUGGACCAUUUUGAAAUAAAACCGGACCAUUUGUAAAUCAAAAUAGAAAAAUAAAUCUAGCUACUCUCUUCUCUAUCUCCUUCAGAAAAAGAAAGCUAAGGCAAUUGGUGUUGAAUAAACAAAACCACACCGAACCAGUCAGGAGUUUUCAGAGAUUAUGCCCAGCGUCACAUGACACCACUUCAUUGUAUGCAACACGAGGAACCGAUCAAGAAAGAUGAAGCAGACAUGCACAAGUUCAAGAGCGAGGUCAGACAAGCAUGUAUCAGAACAGCAACAUGAUCAAGGCUGCAGCUGCUGCUGCGAGGACUAACGUCACAAGGGAAAUCCGGCAGGAACUGAAGGCCACCGAUCCCGACCAAUCGCGCGGCACGAACGUCGAAAGCUCCUCCAUAGUCGACGGGGGCACUUCACUUGUCCUGGGGCGGCAGCAGCACGGACAUGCACAACUAAUUUCAAUUAGUACACCCGAAGUAUGAUCAAUGAUUCCGCAAAGAUAUUAAUUCCAGUGUAGUGUUCAAACGAUCAAAUGGAUGAGAUGAUCAACGAUUGCUCAGAUUAAAAAACUGGAAGGUACAGUUACAACUUAACAGAUCUGUGCACUCAGAGUUUGAGAAGACUAUAUAUAUAGCAUCUGCAUCACUAGGACACUCGAUACUGUAAUUAGUAGGCAGUUACAAGUUAAUAGAACAGAUGCUGCGAGUAGAAGAAUUGAAUCAAUAAUCAGUUUUAUCAUACAAUCAAGUUUGAAUCUGUAUUCCUAUAGCCCUAUAGCAGCAUAUAACAAGAAAUGGAGAGAACACCUCAAGUGAAAAUAAAAAAAUUCCGUUUUGUUGUGGGCAGAUGAGCAGGGAUCAUAUGGUGUGAAAGCCGAAAUGGCCAAGAGUCUCUGAAUGGCAUUAGUGGCCGCAGAUUCUCCGAAUUACUAGACAAGCAGAAAAACGUUUACCUGGAGACAUUUUAGGUGUGGGAGGUGAGUCAGGUGUGAAAUGCAUCUCAGGAAGCGACUUGAGCCCUGUUUCAAAUGGGGGAAACAAAUAAAUGAAAAAAAAUAAAAUUGGUACAUUCAAAAGAACUGCUCAACUGAUCAGUAAUCAUGACUAACCAUAGCAAAAAAGCACAGUAAUAAUAUCCCUAAGAGUAGCAUCCAGAGCUCGCUGGUAAUCCGCAUCUCUCACCAACCAUCACCAAUGUAGCUUCACAAGGACUCACAAGAACAAGGAUAGGAGUGCAUAAACUUAUUUUGUAACUUGUUCGGUGAUCAAGAACACGCGCAUAGGGAGCACAAGAAUCGAUCGAAGCAUAUACUCGCCAUCAAGAAGGGACAAGUUUCUCCCCCCGGCCCUACUCCCCAACCAACCCACCGAACUAACUCCAUACAUUCAUCAUCAUACAUUGCGUACCGUGCAUUUUUCCUCUUCCUUCCAUACUGUGCACGAGGCCUUUGGCUACUCAAUUUAUUUUCUUUUGCUUCUUCUCUAUUCUACAUAGACCCGGCAAUCUCCGUCCGACAAAAGCAUACUUUUUGAGUACUCUAAAGAAAUAUAGCCCAUUGCGCCGGCUUUAGGAUUAUGCUUACUCCUACUAUGGAGAAAACCAAAGGAGUCUGACUAGCAUUUCUUCGUAUGAAGUACGUACUUGUUCUUCACCGUGAAAGCUCUACAGGUUUCGGAAUCCGAGGCCUUCAAGUUCAACCAUAGACGUAGAAGCAAACCAGUACUUAAGCAUCGAGCGAAUGAGAGAUGAGUGAGACGCCUUUAGCUCCUAGAAUGCCUUCUUCAACUUUGCUAUACGCAAUUCGUGCGCUAAAUAGAACUGCUAGACUACGUCGAGUUGUGACCACUCAUGCCUCUAAAGAGCGAGGCAAAGGAUAACACUAGGGCGGAGCUCCACCUUUUGUUCUUCCAGCUCGGACUCCUAAACUAGAAACUAUAUAAGAGGCACGAGAUGAUCAGGUGUGUUCACUAAAGCUCGACAUGAUGAAAGCUUAUGAGAACUUCACUGCUAUAGCUGAUACGGGAUCUAAUGACUUAUUUCUUAAAAUAGGGUUUUGUGACUACCGAAAGUUUCUCUUUUCAUGACACAGGGGGGUCUCUGUGGCCCUAGUUUCUUUGGCCCAUUUGAAAUGAGCUACGAAUAGGUCCUACUUCAGACAAUCCUUCGUUGUCCCUUCAGAGGAGAUGAGUGGGAUGACGAAUGAGUUCUUUAAACAUCUCUAUACUGCUGAAGGUACUGAAAGAAUGGAGGAUGUUCAUUCUGUCGACAGUUCCUCGGAAAGUAUCUCAGGCAAUGAAUGAGCAAUUGACUGCUCCCUUUACUGGUUCUGAAGUGUGACCUUUAUAAGAUGUACCCUGAAAGGCCCCUGGCCCGGACGGCUAUCCAGCCCACUUUUUUUCAGCGAAGGUGGGAUUUCUAUGGUGAUGAGGUUAGUGACUUCAGUUACCUUCUCGGUUCUUUUCAAUGGGGAGCGUCCUAAGGAAUUCAAACCUUCUCAGGGACUACGCCAGGGAGAUCCAAUCUCUUCGUACUUAUUCUUGUUAGCAGCAGUUUAGGUAUUCGAAAUAGCGAAAUACAUAAAUUAUCUAUCUCAAGUACGUCUCGUACUUAUCUUGAGCCAUCAGUCAGAUUGAAUGCAGCGCCCUGCCGGCAGCUCCUGACCUCUGUUCCUAUGGGGGAAAGAAGGUGUGGCUUUGGACCCCAAACUCUUCCAUGACGCCCUUCUUCUUAUAGCGUGGGUAAGUGAUCAAUACAGACAAAAAUCACACCCAUUGGAUCCAUCCUGAUACGAUUGGGUGAUUUGCACGUUCCCUUAAGAACAAGCACACACACUAAAUCCUGAAAAGAAAGAUAGAUGCUCAUCUUCACACUGAUAGCAGCAGGCUCACUACAUACGUUGUCCAACCCACCUUGUAAGACAUCUUUCCUCGGAUAGCCAAGCGAAAGAGGAGGUCUCAAGCGUGCAAAAACACAUGUAUGAGCUGGAAAAGAUGUGCAAUCACGAUCAGAGAUUGUAGAUAACGGAUCUCUCAGGCACCGGUUUCCCUCAGUUCAGGAAGGGAAGCGAGCUUUCAAGGGUCCAAGGAUAAAAAAGGUAAUUAAUAUGUCUCCAACUGAAGUGAUAGAUAAAGACUUUACCCAUUGGCAAGGAACGCUUGGAGGAGUGAAACAACGAUUCCGCCUAGCGUAGGACACAUAUAUUUGAUCCAAUCUAGCACCGUAGCCAGCCCCACCCACGGGUGAAAUUGUAUAGCACCCUAUCUCGUUGAAAGCCCCUUUGCUUACGGAAGAGAAGAGUUGGAUGCCGUGGUGGGAAAGCUCCCGUUUCAACUUUGCUUCUUGUAAGCUUCAGUAUAAAUAGCUCACUUGCGGGAUCUAAUCUUAUUCUAUGGGAACAGCUUUCAUUUCUAUCUUUUGGCUUAAAGAAUGCAUUGGAGCUGUGAUAAGGGGUAGAAGUAUUCGUGUGGGGUGGGUUUCGAAGGGAAGGUUGCAUAAUAGAUCGGAGAUCCUUUGAGGAAGACUGAAAUGACUAUACUUAUAGAAUGGUCCAUAUCGAACAGAUACGAUACUGGUUUACACAGAGAAUAUCGCCUAGCUCUAAAACGGCAGCACCUGAGUGCAACUUAGAGUAAGAAAGAACGACCUUCUGCUAACUUUCUACCGGGGCAUUGUUUUAACAACUUUAGCUGAUUGAUCUACGAAUGGAGGGAUUCAAGCUUAUUUUUGUUAACCGAGAUGCAAACGACUAACAAACUGGAUUCGAAGCCACCUGUCGUAAUAGUACCUGCGGGUUCUUUCUGUGGAGCCUUCAAAUGCAAUAGCUAGCUGCCCAACAGCCAAUGCCACAGGCAAAUCUCCAUUUUCCAACUUAUACAACUCUUUGGGGUCCAAAGAUACUCGCCAUUGCAACUUAAUAAAUAGGACCAGUGGGAUCGCCAUCAACAGAUAUAUUUGUUUCACUACUUUCGUACACUUUGUUUUCGUCAUGUGGAUGACCCGCAGACCGUAGAUAAGAUGGAUACCCACGUACUGCCUUCAAUGAAGAGAGUUUUACCAAGGACCCUUAGACAGAUACGGGGGACAGACAAGAGGUAUGCAACCUGCUGAAUAUUGUCACCGAAUCGCUCACUGACAAAUACUUGGGGCUCCCCUCCCUGGUAGGAGUGGAUAGGAGCGAUUGCUUCCAACACUUAAUUGAGAGAGUUUGCACUCGGAUUAAUGGCUGCAAAGAGGAAGGGGUAAUUGGCUCCGCCAUGGAGACCGAAAUACGAGCUUCUUUCAUCACAUCAUUUUGCAACGGAGAAAAAAGAAGAACAUAAUAAAGUUUCUGAAUGACUCAAACGGCAACAGGAUCGAAGGUAAUGACCAGUUAGCAUCUCUGAUACAGGGUUACUUUGAUGGACUGUUCACCUCAGAAGUCCUAGCUCCCGACCCUGGGCUACUGGGGAAAGUAAACAUGCGAGUAACUGAAGAAAUGAACGCAAGCCUCUUGGCUCCGUUCACGGCAGAUGAAGUAAAGGCAGCACUCUGAAUUCAAUCGGGAGUUAGGUACAGUAAUCUUCAGAUAUGACAAUACCUCCCACAAAGCAUUGUCAAGUGUUGGAAUUAGGGAACCAACCACGAAUAGGAGCUGUAUAGAACUCCAGAAAGAGACCUUUGAUGAAGUCGGCAUCCUCCCAAGUGGCAUUUGCUUGAUCCAAACUAGCCCACUUCCUUGGUUGCUGAAAAACCAUGCAACGCAAGUAAUUUUCCACACACUGAUUCACACAUUCUGUCUGGCCAUCUGAUUGUGGGUGAUAGGCAGAGCUAAACCUCAAUUUCACUUGCAGUGCUUUGAGGAAGGCCUGCCACAUGUUACUUGUGAAUAUCCAGUUUCUAUCAGAGACUAUUGACUUUGGCAAUCCAUUCCACUUAAAAACAUUAUCCAUGAAAGCAUGAGAGACUGAUUGUACUGUAUAAGGGUGAGCAAGGGGAACGAAAUGAGAAUAUUUAGUGAACCUGUCCACCACCAACAAUAUGACUUCUUUGCCAAAUGAUUUGGGAAGACCCUCAAAGAAAUCCAAGGAGAUGUCAGUCCAAGCAGAAGUAGGUAAUGGCAGUGGAUCUAGGAGACCAGGGUAGUGGCAAUGCUCUCCCUUGACUCUUUGGCAAACUGCAAACUCAUGUAGAAAAGUUUCAAUCUCCUAGCCUGGCGCCAAUCAAAUAGCUUUUUUACCCUUUGAUAAGUAGCCACAAUGCCUGAAUGGCCUCCUAUGGGAGAUUUGUGAAGUGAAUCAAUGAUUUGGUGUUUAAGAACAGCAUCUGAUCCCACAUAUAUUCUUCCUUUAUAUCUCAAAAUGCCAGAAUGAAGAGUAUAAGGGGGUGCUGCAUUGGCUGAUACAGUGAGCUUCUCAAGCAGAGAUUUGCAGUGAUCAUCAUUAGUGUAGUUGGUUACUAUAGUUAAAGCCCAAGCAGGAGUAACUGCAGUGACUGCCAUCAUAAGAGAAUCUCUUUUGCUCAAAGCAUCUGUAACCUUGUUUUCUUUUUUUUUGUAUUCAAUCUUGUAAUUGAAUUCAAGCAAUUUUCACAUAAGCUUGUGCUGGAUGCCCUUAGAGACUUUUUGUUCUGUGAUGUAUUUAAGGCUCUGUUGAUCAGUUUUGAUCAAUAAAAGAAUUGGGAACCAAGAAAGUAGUGGCGCCAUCUCUUCAAGGAUUCACAAAUAGCUAAAGCUUCUCCUUAUCAUAAGUUGACAUAGCUGCAUUUCUCGGUCCAAGGGUUUUACUAAAAUAAGCAAUUGGUCUGCCUUGUUGCAUGAGGACAGAACCAAUACCUUGACCUGAUGCAUCUAUUUAAAAAGUAAAUGGUAGGGUCAAAUCAGGCAAAGCCAUAACAGGAGCAGUGACCAGACAAUUCUUCAAUGUUGUGAAGGCCUCAAUUUGAGCAUCUGACCACUGUAAUGAUUCUUUUUUUAGAGAGUCAUGAAGUGGCCUAGAAUUUAUCCCAUAAUUCUUGACAAAUCUUCUUUUUCUGCAGCCAUACCAAGAAAACUCCUCAACUGAGUGAUAGUCUUAGGUGCUGGCCAUUCUUUGAUGGCAACUAUUUUGUGGGGGUCUGUAGAUAGACCAUAUCCUUAGAUAACAUGCCCUAAAUACUCCACUUGAGGGACAGGAAAACUGCAUUUGCUAAUCUUAGCAUAUAGUUUUUAUGACCUUAGAAUGUCCAGGACUAACUUUAGAUGCUUGAGAUGAGCUUGUUUGGUCUUGCUAUAUAUCAGAAUAUCAUCAAAGAAUGCCAAAAGGUAUUUUCGGAGCAAAAACAUGAUUCAUUAAAGAUUGGAAGGUAGAAGGUGCAUUAGUGAGUCCAAAUGGCAUCACUAAGUAUUCAUAAUGACAAAAAUAUGUCCUAAAAUUUUGGAAUGUCUUCUCUUCUCAUUCUUAUCUGAUGAUAACCUGAUCUCAAAUCAAGUUUGGAAAACAGUUGUGCACCAUGUAGCUCAUCUAAUAGAUCCUCAAUGACAAGAAUAUUGAAUUGAUUUUCUGCACUUAACCCGAAAGCAAGUUUGAAAACAAGACCUGCUCUAUGAAGUGAUGGAAGUAGUGAAGGUUUAGGCUUCGAAUCUAUGAAGUUCAGGUUUUGGAGUAGAGGUCAGAGGCUAGUGCGGGUAGCCCUGUCGGAAACUAGAAAGAAGAGGCUGAUGCACCUGCUCGGCGGUGGGUGGGUUUAGCUCGAUCAACUGGGAUAGGAGUUUUUUCUCUAUCUUGCUCCAUGGUGUUCAAGCAGUGCGUCCAGAAAGCUGUGAUUCAUGGGAGGGAGCAGCUUCAAUAGCUUUGGCUGUGAAAACUCUUGGUCUUGGAGCAUCAGUGUCAUCAGUUCACCCAAGAUCAGUAGGACAAAUAACUACUAGGUUUGUGCCAGAAAAGCGUCUUGCGUGACGGGGAAAGAGUGGAAAAAUAAAGAGAUUCAUCAGCUAUAGAAUCUGACAGGUAUCGGUAUUGAACAGAGAGGGCUGUUCACAAAGCAUCCCAUGGAUGGUAAUGGUGCUUCCCCAGCUGUUGUUCCUUCUCCUUUGGCUGGUGCCAAAUAAGGUGACUUUGCCCGCAGAACGAUGUAACCAUGCUGGUAGUACUAUGAUUGCCUUAGAGCGCAGAUGUCUCUGUCCCUAGGAACGUGAUGCUUAGGUGCGAGGUGAAACACAAGCAGGAGAUCGAGAAAAGAAAUCAUACGGAUUGCAACCUACAGAUGAAGAAUCAGCUUCAUUGUUCCCACCAUCUAUAUCAGAUGUUUAAUAAGAAUAGGAAUCGAAUAAGUUGUUGAUUGACUGAGGAAGCAUUUGAAAAGAAAGGAAGGGUGAUGCUUGUUAAACAAAGCUGCGUGUGGGGCCGCCACGUAUAGCUGUAGUUUCUGCUGUAGCAUCGGUUAUUUCCGUUAUUGCUGUAGUAGCAUCGGUUAUUGCUCAGGUUACGAAUGACCCAAUGUAUCUAUGGCAACCACCCCCACUUUUAGUAGAUGGAGAUGCGCACCUAGAAAAGACAGAUGAAAGAGAACCUGCCCUUCUGACUUCUUCUCUUGUCUGUCCUUUAUGCAAAGCGAUCUAUGGUCUCAACAAGCCUCGAUAGCAUCGGUUUUUGAAGUUCAACACAGUGGUUAUGUUAUCCAGGCAGGGUUUGCUUGGAGUGAUCAUGAUUCGGCCAUGUUCGUAUAAGUUUAUCCUCGAGGACGUGCUAUUCUGUUGUUGUAUGUUGAUGAUAUCAAACUGACUGGUGAUUACUCCAUUACAAUAUCGCUGAUCAAGUGUCGCCUUCAUCAGUUAUUUGCUAUGAAGGCGCUGACGCGCCCUAAGCCUUUUCUUGGCUUGGAGGUUGCACAUUCUCCUCGUGGAUAUUUGGUAUCUCAGAUCAAAUAACGUCAUGACUUGGUCACUCGAGCUCAACUCAACGAUGAGAAGACUGUUGACACUCCCUUGGAGCUUUACGUUAAACUCCGUCUGACUGAUGGCUCACCAUUAUCUGAUCCGACGCAGUACAAACAGUAGGUUGGCAGUUUGGUUUAUCUGACGAUCUCUUGCCGAGAUGGCUUUUCCUAAGAAAGUCAGCCUUUCAUGGCUGCCCCCCGGUCAGUUCACUUUGCAGCAGUUCAUCAGAUUCUUAGAUAUAUUCGAGGUACCUUUUCUCGAGCCAUCCUUUUUUCCGUCAUCGUCUUCUUUAGAGUUGCGUGCAACUACUGAUGCCGAUUGGGCCUUAAGAUAGGUGCUAAACUACAGGCUUAUCUAUUUUAUGGGGAGACGAGAGACUAUCUUGGAUGAGAUAAAAGCAAUAAAUAGUUGCUCCUUCCACUGCCGAAGCGGAGUACCGUGCCAUGGCACACUACUAGAUAGAUUGUAUGGCUCCGUUGGUGACUUUCUGGUCGCGGGUUUCAUUUGAAAAACCCCAACGCCAUUCAUCUUGCGUCAAAUCCGAUCUUCCAUGCAAGAUUUUCAUUUUUGGCCACUACUACGUUCGUCGAAAACUUCUUGAUGGCACCAUCAUCUCAUUACCUUAUUUUUUCCCUUCGACUUCGGCUAUGACCAAUGCCCCACCUAGCUGAAUAGGCGUAACAAAGCUACCUGAAAAAGGCAAGGUGCACCUUAGAUUGAAAUCGACAGAUUGCAUUUUGCCAGAUGGAUUCUUUAGAAAGAUUCCCGGAAAAAGUUCAGUAUAAUAUUUAGUUAGAAUCUAAAUAAAGGCGCAUACGUGGGCGGGCAGGGGGCCCCACUACUUCUUCAUUCAGGGGGGGCUAGCUUCAUGACUUCCCACUAGGCGAGGGGUGCACCUAAGCCACCUACUCACUCAUCAAUUACGGUGUUCAGCUGACUUGCACAGAAAGACCCCUAUUGUUUAGUAAUUUGGUGCCCCAUCUUUUGAUUGAUUGUUGUCAACUAAUCUUUUCAAUGUUCUAUUCUACUCUAUGUUAGAACAUUUCUGUGAAUGCUAUUUCGAUCUAAGUGGUCCUAUUCUCUGUCCCAUGCUAGGAAGCAUUACUCCUCUUUUCAUUCCAAAUUCUUCAAUAAGACCGAUACGAUUGAUUGGUCUGUGCGUUUCUCUUAUUACUUUUUGUAUCCCCCUGUUCCUUGGAUACAAUUCGAUCCUUCUACGGCCAAAUCUCAAUUUGUGGAAAGCCUUUGAUGGCUUCCUUAUGAAAACAUCCAUUUGUAUAUGGGUAUAGACGGUCUUUCAUUAUUCUUCGUGAUAUUGACCACAUUUCUGAUCCCUAUUUGCAUUUCAGUGGGUUGGUCUGGUAUGAGAAGUUUUGGGAAAGAGUAUAUUACAGCAUUUCUAAUUUGUGAAUUUCUAAUGAUCGCCGUGUCUUGCAUGCUGGAUCCUCUACUAUUCUAUGUUCUUUCCGAAAGCGUGCCAAUCCCUAUGUUGUGCGGAGCUGAGCAUCUUCUAUUCGCUGGGAUCAAGCUUUUCCUCCGCAGGGGCCUUGUGUAGUAAACCCCCUACGGGC
rnacentral:lncRNA from 1 species